AUUAAAGAAUGUGGGGCCCAUGUGAUCGCAAAGAAGUUAAAUUCAUUUGAAGAGUCGGCAAUGGGAAGAGCUACAGUGAUGCCUUCACCAUCGCUGUAUCAUCUGCUUCCUCAUCCCCAUUGUGGUUCAAUUACAGCAUCUACACCUAAGCAAUGGAGUAAUUAUUUAUUUGCGAAGCUGCAAGAAUAUAACCUCAGUUUAACAUUUCAUGGUAAGAACAAAUAUUUCCUUUAGUUAUUUUUAUUCUAUUAUAUUUAAUUUAUGAGAUUAAAUAUUAUCUUUAAUUAUUUCAUUAUUAUUAUUUAAUCUAAAACAUUAAAUAUCAUCUUUAAUUAAAAAAUAUAUAUAUAUUUAAGGCUUUUUGGUAAGAAUACAUAUUUCCUUUAGUUAUUUCUAUUUAAUUUAAGAGAUUAAAUAUCAUCUUUAAUUGUUACAAUAUUUUUCUUAUUUAAUCUAAAAUUUUAAAUAUUUUCUUUAACAAUAUUUUUUAUUAAAUAUUUAGAGUCUACUUGGUUUUAUUUUUUUUCUUGAUUUUAUGAUAAUAUUUUUCUUAUUUAGUAUAAAAAAUAAAUAUUAUCUUUAAUAAUUAGAUCUAUCGAAUAUCACUUAAAAAAUAAAUUAUAACUUUAAUAAUUAUUUUUUGAAAAACAAAAAGCCAACAAUCACUAACAUAUUUUAUUAAAAUCACUUUAGUUUAUUUAGAAAAUAUUGAAAAUUGAUUAUUUUUUUUACAUUAAAAUAAAAAAAUUAAAAAAUGUUUUUAUAUUUUAUUUCAAAGUCGAUAUUUUAAAACAAAAAUGAAAAAGAUGUGAUAUUAACCUUUUUUAUUAUAAAGUAAGUUUUUUAAUUAAAAGUGAUGAGAAUUUGUUCGUAAUAACAAAAUGCAUGUUUAAUUUUCUUUUCAAACUUGGAAUAUAUUUCUAUUGAAUUUGAUGGUUUUUUUAUCUUAAAACACUUGCCAGCAAUCUUGUUUUUUCAAUGCUGCCAUUUAGCAAGUGGAGUACUGUAGCUUUUCCACAUACAUUGAAUAAUAACAGUUUGAAUAAAUAACAAGAAAAUAGAAAUUAGUUUUAUUAAUUUGAACGGUACAUCAUUCAUCGAAUAAAUUACAAAAAAGUAUUAUUGAGAUACUAUUUUUUUCAGUUUCUAUUGCACCAAAAUAAACACAUAUAUUUGUCACAUAUAUUAAUUAAUAUCAAAAAUCUCUGUAUUCCUUGAAAUCAAUAUGUAUACAAGUAAUAAUCAUUAUUAUUUUAUUUUAUUUUAAAAAAUAAAUAUCAUAUUAAAUAAUAUUUUUUAUUUUUCUUAUUUAAUUUAAAAAAUUAAAUAUUAUCUUUAAUAAUAUUUUUUAUUAAAUAUUUAAAGUCUGAUUGGUUUUAUUCUUUAUUUCUUGAUUUUAUGAUAAUAUAUUUAUACAGGCAAUGUGCAACGGUCGUCACCCGUAACGUAUUGCUUCAUUUCGUGGUGAGAUGCCAAAUUGGAUGAGCUACGGUGGAGAAGGAUGCUCCUUGUCAUUCCAUAUACCUCCAGUCUUCCAAGGCUUAGUUGUUUGGUUUGUCUAUCCACUUGAGAAGGAUUGUCAUAACCUAUUUUUAGGUUAUUUUUCAAUAUAUAUAUUUUUUUUUCUUCAAAAAAAUUACAAAAAAAAUCUAAAAAUAUUAUAAAAAAUAUAACAGUAAAAAGAGGAUGUCAGAACGCUCAGAAAAUAGUUAAAAUUUGGUUGAGGAGGUUUAAAAAUAUAAAAAUUAAAAUUUGGUAGUAUUUUAUUAACUGAUGAUAGCCCUGUUGACAAAGAAAAUUCAAUUUGAGAAAAAAAAAGUCUAAAAUCAGAUGUUGAGGGACUCAAUUAAAUUAUAUUGAAAGUUUAAUUGAAUUUAUGGAGGGUUUGAUUGUAAGAAAAAUUGAUUUUGGAGUUAAUUUGGGCUUUAAUUGGAAGAAAUUAAAGUUCUGGGGUCAGAUUAUAUUUUUUUUUAGAGUUGAUUUGGUCAAAUUGGGGGCUUAAUUGCAUAAAUAUUAAAGUUUGAUGGCCAAUCGGGGACUUAAUUGAAGAAAUCUGAGACCAAGGACCAAAAUGCAAAACGCGCGCAAAUUGAAGGAUUGAAUUGAAAUCUAGCGCUUUGGCUCCAAUUUUCAUUUAAAUGAAACAGUGCGUUUUAAGCAAAACGACGUCGUUUCAUGCACUUUCCAAAAAAAAAAAAGAGGACGAAACGGUGCCGUUUUGAGGCGGCACUGUUUCUUCUUCUUCUUCCCCUGGACAUGCAGCAGGGGAAGAGGCGUUUUUGUUUUCUUCUCUUUGUUUCUUCCUCUCCCUCCCCAUGUGCUCUGUUACAACCAAAACCGGUCGCCACUUGCCUCAUGAUGAGAUGCCAAAGCAGUCGUGCCCCGCAAGCGACGCCUCCAUUGGCCACCUCUGUCGGCGCCGUGACAGAGCAGGAGACGUGCGACGCAUGCAUGGGCAACGAUGGGACGGGGCAGGGUCGACCCCGCUCCCCUUGCCCCUAUAAAUAGUGACCCGAAAGGAGAAAAAAAGGAACACGGGAGAAAACAGGGAGGGAAACCGAGAGAGAGAAAUCGAUAGUGUUGAGAGAGAAAUGACUGAAACAGUAGAAACCAAAAAAACCGGGGAUAUCGAUAGGGAGACCGAGAGAGACAGACGGGGAGAAGGAAGAAAAAGGACAAAAGAGGUAAACCGAUGGGGAAGAAGACACUGACUGGUGUCUCUACACAGCGGAGAAGAAGCGCCGCUGCUGGCAUUGGGCUUCACAGUCACCGCCACCGCAACACCACCGAGAACGUUCACCAGCAUCACCGUCAGCUCAGCCAUCCGAGAUCACCACCUCAGGUAAAUUCUCUUCCCCUCACGCCGAUAAUUAUUCAUCUUCUUGCUUGUAGAACGUGCACUGUGCACGUUCUGCAUGCAAGAAGAAAUAAUUAGUCGGUUACCGUGCAUGCGCACAGUAACCGGCUAAUUAAUUAACUAGUUACUGUGCUCAUGCAUAGUAACUAGUCAUUGGUUUCUUCUUCUGCGAGUUGGAACAUCAGCCCAGCCCACGCGACUGGGCUGAGUCCAACCCCCUUUUUUUUAUGCGGGCUGGAACAUCAGCCCAGCCCACGCGGCUGGGCUGAGUCCAGCCCUGUUAACUGCGGCCUGGAACAUCAACCCAGCCCAUGCAGCUGGGCUGAGUCCAGCCUUGUUGCUGGGCCAAUACAGGCCCAACCCAGUUCAUUUCAUUUUUUCUUUUUUCCUUUUUGUUUUGUGUUUUAUAUAUAUAUAUUGUGAUUUUCCCACGGAUUUUUCUACGUCAUUUUAACUAAUAUUGGUCUAUAUUUUUUACUCGGUUUUCAAAAAAAAAAACUUUUGCUUUCAUGCAUACGGCCAAGUCUCUCAAAGCUAAAAAAUCAUAUUGUAUUUUUAUACAACAAAGAAAACUAAAAAAAUAUAUAUUAUUUUAGCAUGCAUUUUAGCUUUAAUAACCAGUUUAUUAAAGUCAUGAUAACUUGGCCAAUAUUUCAAAAAAUCAAAAAAAAUAUUUUGUUUUGUUUUAAUGUCUGGGAUUACGAAUUUAUACGUAAAACGUAUUCCCGAUAUUAAAAAGGUAGUUCUUUUAUAGACAUUAGGCCGGUUAGAUUUUUACCCCAUAAGAUAAGAACCUCCUUACUGAGGAGGGCUUUUCUUGAACCCUAGACAGACCAACAUGAUAAGACCUUAGAUUUUUUAUUAGACAAUAAAACAAUGCAGCUUACCUUAGGUAGGGUGUAUUUGAGGUGCUAAUACCUUCCCUUUGCGCAACCAGUCUCCGUACCCGAUCUCUAAGACCAGUUAGGGUUCCUAGUGAUCAGAAUACUAGGUGGCGACUCUCAUUCCAUUUUUUCACCGCUAAGAGACAAAGAAUUCCUUGUUUUACCAUAUUUUCCAGAAUAGAUAGACAUACCACAUUUGAUGAUGAGGGUGGUGGAUGAUCGCCGCACACGUGCGAUAGAAUGGUGACUCCACUGGGGACCCAUCAAAUCAAUCAACAGAAAAAAAAAUCACCAAGCCGAUGCCGCGCGGGUGACAUGCGACAAGGAUGAUCAUUAUUACUCACGGUCUGGCACUAUUAUUAUUAUUAUUAUUAUUAUUAUUAUUAUAAGAAAUAAAAGCAAUGGUAUUCAAUUGAUUAAAGAUAAACGAAUAGUAGGACCUUUCCUACCAAAAACUGCGGGAUGGAUAAGAUACAUAAGUAGAAGUGAAAUGGAAAAUGGAAGAUUACUGUGGAGAUGACGAAUUGGAACUAUACGUAUAUUCAGAGCCAAGAGGAGAUACAGUGCGCAUCAUUAAAAAAUGUGGGGUUCAUGUGAUCGCAGGGAAGUUAGAUUCAUUUGAAGAGUCGGAAGUGGAAAGAGAUAUAAUGAUGCCUUCACCACCGUUGUAUCAUCUGCUUCCUCAUCUCCAUUGUGGUUCAAUUACAGCGUCUACACCUAAGCAAUGGAGUGACUAUUUAUUUGCGAAGCUGAGUAAAUAUAACCUCAGUUGAACGCUUCAUGGUAAGAACAAAUAUUUCAUUUAGUUAUUUCUAUUUUAUUCUAUUUAAUUUAAGAGAUUAAAUAUUACCUUUAAUUAUUUCAUUAUUAUUAUUUAAUCUAAGAAAUUAAAUAUCAUCUUUAAUAAAAAAAAUUAUUAAAUAUUUAAGGCUUUUUGCUAAGAAUACAUGUUUCCUUCAGUUAUUUCUAUUUUAUUCUAUUUAAUUUAAGAUAUUAAAUAUAAUCUUUAAUUAUUUUAUUUUUCUUAUUUAAUUAAUCUAAAAAAUUAAAUAUGUUCUUUAAUAAUAUUUUUUAAAAAAUAUUUAGAGUCUGAUUGGUUUUAUUUUUUAUUUCUUGAUUUUAUAAUAAUAUUUUUCUUAUUUAAUUUAAAAAAUAAAUAUUAUCUUUAAUAAUUAGAUCUAUCAAAUAUCACGUAAUUAAUUAUAUCAUUAUUUUAUUGGUAGCAACUUAGGAGUCUUUUAAGCCAAAAGAAUAAUAGCUAGGAAGAGCUAAAAUUAGCAAGGAAUAUUUAGAGUCUGUUUGAUUUUAUUGUUUUUCUUUGAUUUCUUAAUAAAAAAAAUCAAAUUCUUGAAAACAAAAAUUGAAAACUUAUACGUUUUGAUUUUGAUUUUAUUUUUGAAAAUGAAAAGCCACCAAUCAAUAGCAUAAUCUAUUAAAAUCACUUUGUUUUAUUUAGAAAAUAUUGAAAACUGAUUUUUUUUACAUUAAAAUAAAAAAUUGAACAAUAUUUUUAUAUUUUAUUUCAAAUUUGAUAUUUUAAAACAAAAAUGAAAACGAUGUGAUAUUAACCUUUUUUUUAUUAUAAAGUAAGUUUCUUAAUUAAAAGUGAAGGUGAUUUGUUUGUAAUAACAAAAUGCAUAUACAAUCAUGCAAAAGUUGUAUUUAAUCAACUCUGCUAUUGAAUUUAAUGGUUUUUUAGGGAACAAAUGAUAUGGAUGAAUGUGAGAGCACAAGAUCAUUUUACAAAGAGAUUGAUUGGUACUUAAAAAUAUAUUUUUAUUAAGGUUUUAUAUCAUCAUAUUGCAUUUAAAGUAUAAUUAAAUUCUCUAAUUUAAGCAUAUUUUAUAAUAACAAGUCUGAUAACAUAAAAUAUAUUUAAUUUAUGGUAAAUGCUCAUUUUGAAUGCAGGCAUAUCUCACAAUUUAAAGGAUUGAUUGAUGUGUUUAACUAUUAAAAGUGAAAAGACAAAAAGAAGGCUAAGCUUAAAGAAGAAAUGUUGGUUCAAUUCAAACUGGAAUAUCAUUAUGUUAUUGAAUCAUAACUAUAGCUAUAGAACAUGGAUUUAGGUUUGGUUUAUAUGGAUGGAAAGCUAAGACAUAGGCCUAAAACUUUCAUGAAGAGUUCAAGAUUCAAAACGGCCCUUUUCAAGUUCAAAUUAUAGCAACAAAAGAGAAGUCGAAAUAUGACUUGUAACCUAGACACUGUUCAGUGUUCAGCCCAUAUCUCGAGUUCUAGAAGUUCAAAUAAUCUCAUUCUUGUUUUGUUGGAAAACUGAGACAAAUGCCCAGAAGUUUCAUGAAGACUAUCUGUUCAAAUUUUGAUGUUAGCAUGUUGUGUUCAGACAAGAAGAUAAUGGUUGUCACCAAGUCAAUAGGUGGCCACCCACUUAAUAAUUAGUCAUUAAAUCAAUAGUUCUGAAUUUUGGACUCUAAAAGAAGGCAUUUGCCAUACAUUUAGACAUCUUGGUGUUCAGAUCAAGAUCUUGCUCUCACUCUCUCUAUUUGUAUUUUGUAAUGUUCAAGUUUUAUUUUAUGUUAUAUUAAUCUCUUAUUUAUGCUUUUCAUUUCUUUUACUAUACUUAGUUAACUUAUAUCAUGUUUAUGUUAUUAUGUUGUUUAUUUAUGUUUUUCUUCUUCAUGAUGUUUAUCUAAGUUAAUUUUGUCAAGGUGAAAAGGGUACACUAAUGGUGUAAGAAUAAGUAUAAUACAAACUCCACAUAGACUUUAAUGUUUAAUACUAACAUGUUUUGUAUUUGUUAUCUUACUCACUCUUUAUACCUUACUUGUUAAAUGGUUAAUCUAAAUUUAUGUUGUACAACCCUUGGCAUAACAAAUACUUGACACUUUCAUAACCUACUGUAUGGUAUAAUCAACACUUGUGCUAUGAAAGGAACUUGAUUUAUUGUUAACAUAAAUUAUCAUCAUGAAUACCUGACCACAUUUACAAGUAUUGGCAUUACUCAAAUAAGAUAAUUAAUAUAAUCAUGUAUGUGGUUUCUAGUUGAGUAAUAAAAAGAGUUUAUACUAUACUUAUUUGAAAUACCUCUAACUUUAACAAUUGUUUUAUCCUUGUUUAAUCCUUACAUCAAUAUCACAUUUCAAAAGUUCUCUUCAACUCCUUUUUAAUUGUUGUUUAUAAUUUUAUAUAAUUCAUCUCCCUGUGUUUCAACCCCGGUCUUGCCGGGUUAUUUAUUACUUUGACACUCCUGCACUUGAUAUAAGACAUCAAUCUCUUGAUCGUGUUAGAGAUGCUUGAAGUUACUCUUUAUUGGUAUGGUAGUUGUUUCUAACGAGUUGAUAAGUAUUUGUUAGCUUGAAGAUUAUUUUCCAAACUUGGAAGUUAUAUUGAAUGCUUUUUGAAAUCUUUUCCAUCCGAUUUGAAAUUGGACAACCUAAUUGUUAUUAUCCAUUAUGUAAUUUAUAUUUUCAAGUUUCAACUUUUGAUGAAUAUUGUAUUGAAUGCUCUUUGAAAUCUUUUCCAUCCGAUUUGAAAUUGAAAAACCUAGUUGUUAUUAUCCAUGACGUAAUUUAUAUUUUCAAGUUACAACUUUUGAUGAAUAUUGUUUCCUUUUUUUCUCACUUCUUGGAAGUAUUCUCAAAAAGAUGAAAAUCCUCGAUCUUAGUUAUAAAUAAAUUGGUUUUCUAGGAAGAGAUUAUUAGGUGGGAUAUAUUAUUUGAGUUGGUUCUUCAUCAUUUAAUGUUAUGAUUUAAGAUAAUUGAUGAAAACUACCAAUACACAAGAAUGUUUAGAAAGCAUCUUUAAUUGGUCUAAUAAGUAAAGUCUUGUUAGUUUUGGCCAUAAGCUAUGUAUUAUUGCUUGUUUUUUACUAUUUUUUUACCUUUUUUGUUUUUUGUAUAUACAACUUUUGUUUUUCUUGCGAGUUUCUCAUUAGCUUUAUGGCACUAACAUCAAUUAAUAAUAAAUCUUGGACUAUUAUUAAAUAAAAAAAAACAUAAACAUUGUUAAAACACCAAACUUGCAUAGUUCAAACCUAGAGAAACCCUAUGCCAAUAAUCUAAUUUAAAAAAAUAAUUAAUUUAUCCUUGUAGUCUUAGAAAAUAGUAUUUAAUCCUUAUGUUUUUACAUUUAUCUUUGAUUUAACCUUUUACAUCUAUUUCAUCUUAUUAUUUUGGUUUACUAAGUAAAGUCUUAGAAACCUAUUUAUGGUCUUAAACAACUUAAAAAGGCUCAAAAACCUAAAAUGAACUCAAACCUGAAAAUCUUCAUGCUGAGAGGUCUGUUUCAUCAAGCAAGGAAAAAGAAAAAAAAAACAUAGGUGAAACUUCCCUCAUCAAAUAAAAUCCAAUGACACUAGGAUUGACUAUUUUGGUGGCUAGAAUAGAAGUCAACGAUAACAUUUUCUUUCCACGUCGGAAUCUAGCAAGUUUCUCUCUUCUCUCACAAAAAAAAACUAAAAAAUAAGGAAAAUAAAGUUUGGUAUUAAAAUCAAAUUUCCGACAACUAAAGAGACCAAUCACCUAUUAACUAAAAACAAUUGGGGACCGAACUAAGUUUUUCAUAUGAAAUAUGAAGUUGACAUCUAUUUUCUCCAUGUUUUUUACUUUGGUUAUCUAUCUUUCAAUCCAACCCUUUCUUCAUAAAAAUAGAAGUAACUUUGUAUUAAUUUGGACUAAAAAAGGUACAAUAGUGCAAAAACAAAUUGAGGAUCAAAUUGAGAAUUAAAAAAUAAUUGAUUAUUUUAAUCUAUAAUGAUAUGUGAGAGAGUGCACAUUAUAAAGUGAAGAGAAAAAACUCCACAUGACUUUGAAACACCUUUGAUGGUUGAUUGAAAUUGGUAAGUGAGUUUCCUCACAUGUUGUUUUUUCGGUUUUGAGUCCAAAUAUGGAGAUUUUAUGAUUUAAGGUAUUUUUCAUGAAUGCAACCCUUCAUGUAUUCAAUAACUUAUUUUCUAGUAUAAACUACGUUUGAAAUAAAAUUGAUAAAAGACAUGUGGUACACAAUUAAUGAUGGCAUGUAUAUAAAAAUAAUUAAAUUGAAAAUUUUCAAUUAUCUUUAAAGAUAUCAUGGUUUUAGUCGGUUAAAUUAUAAAAAAAAUAUUUAAUUUUUUGAUAUAAAUAAUAAUAACAAAUUAGAUAAUAGUAACAAGAAAAUAGGAAUUAGUUUGAAUAAAUGGUACCAGUUCCUAUUAUGAUAUAUCUAGAGAAGAAGUUUGAAGAAUAAAAUGAAGUGAAAUAUUCUUAAUAAAAAAAGAAAAACACAAAAAGAAAUAAAAAAAUAUUCUUAAUAAAUAUAAAAGAUGGGUGAAAUUAGAGAACAAGAAAGAGAUAUAGAAUCUCUUUGUAAGAUUUCUAAAAACUUAAUUACAAUUAUAUUAUAAUUUCUUCCCUAAAAUUAUUUAAAAUAUAGUAUUAGAAUUACAUAAUGCUAGGUUUUAAUAUAUAAUUAAAGAGUUUCUCCUUAACCAAAUAUAAAAAUAUUUUAUAAUUCUUUUGAAUGAAUUAUUAACGGAGGGACUGUUUUGGGUCCCUAUUUAGCUGAUUUUAUUUGAAUAUAUUAUUUGACUAGUCCAUUUAUAGGUUUACUCUACUAUUCUUGCCUUACUGGAACCGGAAAAUUCACUCGAAAUUUCUAGUAGUUUACACAGAAAUUUCCUGUGCUAAACUUCAAAGAAUUUCUUUUCUUUUCAUUUUGUAUUUUCUCAUUUUCUUGGCAUGCGCGCAGCUGCAUCAAGGAAAAAACGUUUCAGAUGCGUGUAAUAAAUCCAAUCGAUGAAUGAGAAAGGGACGCAAAAUAAAGAUAAAAGUGGAAUAUUCUCAUUAAUUGGUCAUCAUUUAAACGUUGGACACAGCCAUCUAUAUGUUGUUUAAAGAAUUUAAAUGGUUAGUCAGAAAGGAUUGCUUUUUAAUUAAAAAUAUAUUAAAAUAAUAUUUUUAAUGCCAAGUAUUUGUUCAACCUCAUUAAUGCUAACGAGUGGACCCAGUUGUUGUGGAAACUUUGCUAGGGAUCUGGAGUGUCAUAAUCCAAAAUUAUUCCUUAAAAUUUAUAUUUUUUCAAAAUAAAAAUCAAAAAAAUAAAAUAAAGGCUGGCAACGUGGAGAAAGCAGGCCGGAAAAUCAAGCUGUAAUUUUUGGAGGAAAUUCAAGGCGUAAUUGUACCCCACUAUGCCCCAAAAUAGAGAGAAAAUAUAAAUUCAAGGUCAAAUUAAAUGAUUAUUUGACAAAUUUGCAUAAACAUUAAGUCCGAUGACAUAAUUAAAUUUUUAAUAGGCCAAUUUGAUUUAAUCACGGGCCAAAUUAAAUUUUAAUUAUGUUUAAGAAUUAAUUUGCGUCCAAUUGAAGGAUUUAAUUAAGUGCAAGGACUUAAUUAUACUUUAAAUGGGUCAAAUUAAUUUUAUUUUGGGCUUAAUUGGUGAAAACUUAAGUUUGGGAGCUUAAUUGAGAAGAUUGGAAUUUUAAGAGACCAAAUUUAAUUCUUACCAAGUUAAUUGAUUGAAAUUAGGGGCCCAAUUGCAAGAACAUUGAAGUUUUGGGGUCAAUUGGGGGUUAAAUUGAAGAAAUUGACAGCUAAGGACCACUCUGCAAAAGGCGAAAACAUUUGGGGACUUAAUUGACAACCACCGGGGCAAAAUUGAAGAAAUUGAAAGUAUAAUGGUCAAUUAGAGGUUAAUUUGACAAAAUUCGAGACCAAGGACCAUAUUGCAAUAGGCGCGUAACUUUGGGGUUUCAAUUGAAGUUUAUCAGGGGCUUAAUUGCAUUAAAUCCAAAGUUAAGGGUUAAUUAGGGGUUCAAUUGAAACCAAUUGAAAGAUGGAGGACUAAGAUGAAAAUAUGUUAAAAUCCCUAAUUCAACUCAAAAUGGCGCCGUUUUAUAUUAAAAAAGAGAGAGAGAGAGGGGACCAGACGACGCGUUGUCGGGUCACUGUUCAUUGUCUUCUUCUUUUACCCGAAAGAAACUGCUUGGGAGCCUUAUUUGCAGGUGCAUUUAAUGCUUGAUUUCUCCAUAAAAUUGAACAAAACUUGCACGAAAAGGAUCCCCUGCAAUUCCUCUACAAACCCAUGUGAACUUUUCAGGAUUAAUGACAGCACAGCUACGCCGGAGAUGGCGUGAAGAGGUCAACUCAGGCAGCCUUUUCCUGCAGAUUUGACAACUCAGGGAGGCUACUUUGAGCCAACAGUUGGGAUCCUUCCCAACAGAAUCAAGAGCUAAAAUUUUACCCCAGUGCAAAAGAGAUUACCCUCUUCGACCGCCUAUAAAUAGAGGCUGAUUUGAUGGCCUGAGGGAGGAAAAAAAAUCGGGUCCAAAAUUUGAAAAAAACAAGCUCCCACUGCCCCCGUUUCUGCAAUUUCUCUCUCUCUCUCCGUCGCUUCAACCACCACCAACCUCAUCACCAGCUUCUCCACCACCAGCUCCAUCACAGUAAGCCACCAACCGACCACCGAGAGCCACCGUGAACCUUUCUCUCUCCUCUGCAAACCGGUUUCUUCUUUCUCCCACAGCGACUCCACCGGCCAAAACUCUCCACCAACGCCGCCAUCAGCCUCUUUUCUUCCACGACCAGACCACCGCCAACUUCACGCCAGGCCAGAGACAGCAGCUUCUUCUCCUCCGCAAGGUCGCCUCCCACUUCACUCCGCCGUCUGCGCAAAGUUGCAUGCAGAACAUGAACUUACUGUUCACGUUCUACAAUUAAUUCAUCCCUCACUUGGGCCGGGCCAUAAAUGUUUGGCUGGGUCUGGCCCGGCCUCAAAAGAAAAGGAGAAAGAAAAUAUGUUGGGCCGAUAUCGGCCCAACCUUUUUGGACCGAGAUCGGCCCAACUGUUUCUGGGUUUCUGCUUGGUCCAGUUACUUGGGCCAUCCCGGCCCACCUGUUUUAAUAAUAUUUAAUUAAUAUAUUAUAUUAUAUUAUAUAUUUCCUUUUAAAAAAAACAAAAAAAUCCAAAAAAAAUUUCAAAAAUCAUUUUUAAAAAAUUACGAUUUUCUCAAAUAUUUUUCUACCACUUUUGUAUAAUAUCGGGUUGUAUAUUUACACUGUAAAAUACAAACCUGGUAUUAAAAUACCCGGUUUUCUCCUAAAUAUUUCAAAAACAAAAUUCAAAACAUUUUCAAAGAGAAAAAAAAUAUUUUGUUGCAUACGGCCAAAUCUUAAAAUUUUUCCAAGCAUAUUUUUCAAUAAAAAAACAAAAAUUGCAUCUUUCUCCAGUUUUGAAAAUAAAAAAAAUGGAUAUCAUAACCAGUUUGUGAAUAUCCAUUAGAAUUUGGCCAACAUGUCAAAACCUUUUUCCAAUCUUUUUAGGGUUCAGAUGCAGACUUUAGUAUUUGUGGAGUGUAAAAUUACACGAUAAAGUACACCCUCAGGUAUUAAAGAUACAAGGUGUAAAUAAAUGCGAUGCUAAAAUUCAGACUUUAGAAUGGUUAGGAUUUAACCUGAUAAAGUAAAGACUUUCUCAUGAAGAGAGAUCUGCCUUAAACCUUAAAAAAGACCAACGAAUAGAAACCCGAUUUAGAAAAAAACAAUCAAACAACAAUGUAGCUUACCUUAGGUAGGGUGCACUGGGGGUGAUGCGUCUUCCCCUUGCACAACCAGUCUCUUACCCAGACUCUCGCAGACCAUAGGUUUCUAGUGAUCAUAAUACUAGGUGGCGACUCCUAAACAUUAAUCAUAAUUUUAUAAUUAAAUCCAAAAAACCUUCCCAACACACAACACCUCACACAGGAGGCACGACAAGAAGCCUUUGCCGUCGCCAGACGACGUCGCGCCCCUUGCGACAUGGAGGAAGAAAAAUGAUUGCAUUGCUAAUAAUUUGCAAGAGAGAAUUCUUUUUCUGAAUAGAAAAAACUAUUAUUUUUAAAAUAAAAACAACUAAAUAGAAAAAUUAUUAUUUUUUAAAUAGAAAAACUAGAAAAGCCUUGUAAUAUUGAAUAAAAAAUAAAAUAGAAAAAUUAUUCUUUUAAAGUAGAAAAAAUUAUGACAAUUUAAUAAUACUGAAUAGAAAUAAAUCAAAUUUUUAAACUAAAUAAAAAUAAUAGAGAAAAAUAUUUAUUAUCCUAAACUUUUUUAUAUUAAAAUCUUAAUUUAUAACAUGAACUGAGUCUACAUGCUAAAAUUAGAAGAACAAAAAAAAAAUGUAACAAAAAAAUUCCAUACAACACAAUUAAUGAUGGGAUCAUAUAUUUUGAGACUAAAAUGAGGUUUUCGAAUUACCUUUAAACAUAACAUAACAUGAUUUUAAUAGAUGUACUGUACAUCAUUUGAAUUUAUUAGAAAAAACAUAUAAUGUAAAGUAUGAACCACUUACCAUUAACUAGAUUUUUCAAUUGGAUUUUUUAUUUAAAUGAAAAGGAAAAUUUAUUUUAUUAUGAAAAAUAUUUUUUAUAUAUAUCUAGUAAUAAUAAAUUAAAGGAUAAUAACAAGAAAAUAACAAUUAGAUCGAAUAAAUGGUACCAAUUUCUAUUCUGAUAUAUCUAGCCAAAGAAUAGAAUGAAUCAAAAUAUUCUUAAUAAAAAAAAUAGAAAACACAGAAAGAAAUAAAAAAAUGUUCUUAAUUAAUAUAAAACUAUUAAUUUACAAAAGAAAUUUUCUGGUACUUUAUACUGUAUAUAAUUUGAAAAAUUGUGACUGACCGACUUACUUGCAAAGUAUUUGCAAGAAAGUUAAAGAAUUAGAGUUUUUUAAUAUUCAAAAUUAUAAUUUUAAAUUCUACGAAAAAAAUCAAUUAUUUUUAAAACUGUUUUCAAAAAUAAAACAUCAACUAUUUAUAUAAUAGCUAAAUAAAACAAUUAAAAUAAAUAAAAAAAUAACUAGUAAAAUCAAGUGAAUAAUCCAAAAAUAACAAGAAAAUAGAGAUAUUUCCUAAAUAUGAUUUCAGUUUGUUGUAUUGAUCAAUUUGCUAACAUAAAUAGCAUAAACGAACUUUAUUCUAAUAGUAUGUUUGAUAUUUAAAAAAAAAAAAAACUUAUAGAUAUUAUAUGGGUUGGCAACCCAUUUUUUAUUAAAUUUUAAAUUUUAUUUGUUUAAAAAUAUUUGUUUAUGUUUUUUAAUUAUUUUAAUAUGAUAAUAUCAAAAAUAAAUAAAUAAAAUUUUUCUAAGUUUUACUACUUCUGACUUGCUUUGACUCGAAAUUAGUGGUGCUUUCUCCUGCGAAUGAAUAGAAAGCAUAUCAUAAAGGUGUGUUUGACAUUGUGUUUUGGAAGUAUUUUUUAAAAAAAUAAAUUUUUUUAUUUUUUUUCUUCAAAUUAUUUUUUUUGUUGAUGUUUUCAUAUUAUUUUGAUAUGCUGAUGUCACAAAUAAUUUUUAAAAAAUAAAAAAAUAUAUUAUUUUGAUGUGUUUUGAAAUGAAAAAACUUUAAAAAGCAACCGCUACCACACUCUCAAACUCCUUUGUUUAUUGAGUCUUACUGUGAAACCUCGUUUUGGGAUGAAUUGAUUGUAAGAAUAAGAAAUUAUGUGCAAAUUAUACAAAAUUUAUUAUUCAUCAUCAAGAUUUAUUAUUUAUUAUCACUAUUGAAUAAUGAUUUAUUUUAUAAUAUAAAUUAUGUUUAAAAUAAAAUUGAUAAAAUUAAAAUACAUGAAACGAGGUCGUAUAUUUUGAAACUAAAUUAAAAUUAUUUUCUUUUUCAAUGAUAUCAUUUGUUAGUUUGCAAGUCCACAUGUCACGAGUCUCCACUGCAUGAAAUUUGCAAAAUCAUAUGGCCCAUUGAUAGAAGGUGUGUUGAAGCAAAAUCUGUUUUAUUGAUUAUCAAUAUUGAAUAAUAGCUUAUUUUCUAGUAGAAACUAUGUUUGAAAUAAAAUUGAUAAAAGACAUGAUAUACAAUUAAUAAUAGGAUCGUAUAUAAAAAUAGGAAAUUUCCUGGUAAUAAAGUCCCAACUUUCGUAGGCGAGCACUAAAGUCCCAAACUUCAAGAAUUUCUCUUCUUUUCCUUUUGUAUCUUCUCAUUUUCUUGGCAUGCGCGCAGCUGCCUCGAGGAAAAAACGUUUCAGAUUCGGAAAAUAAAGAUAAAUGUGGAAAAAAAAAAUCCCAAAUAAAGAUAUCUUUUCGUCCCUUGGUGUCGUGUGAAUACCAUGUGGAUAUCAUUUCAGAAAAUCAAUUCAACCGUUCUCCAAAGAACACUCAUACUCCAAUAUCAGCAACUACCACGAAAGUUACCACUCUAAAUUCCAGCUCAAUAAUUAAGGUUCCAAGAUAAGCCUAAAAAAUAUUUAUUAGGCUUAUCUUAAAGCCUAAUAAAUAUCUAAAAAAAAACAAAAAAACAAAAUUCCACCCUAGGCUGUGAUUAACAGAUUAUCUGAUGGAAACAUGAUGAGCUUUUUUUUAGUGAAUUAAGUUCAAUUAAAAAAAAAUUAAGGUUAAAUUGAUGAUUAAUAAUGAAUUUUGUAUACUUUGCACAGGAUUUUCUUAUUCUCGUCAAUUAAUCUUAAAGCGAGGUUCCAAGAUAAGCCUAAAAAAUAUUUAUUAUUGAUCAACAAUAUUGAAUAAUGGCUUAUUUUCUAGUAUAAAUUAUGUUUGAAAUAAAAUUGAUCAUAAGAGUAGAUGAUAUACAAUUAAUGAUGAAAUCGUAUAUUUUGAGACUAAAUUAAGAUUUUUCAAUUAUCUUUAAAUAUUAUGGUUUUAAUAGGUGGACAAUGCAUUCUUUGAAUUUAUUACAAGUAAUGUGUAAUUUAAAUUAUAAAAAAAUAUUUAUUUUUCUGAUAUACAUGAUAAUAAUAAAUUUGAUGAUAGCAACAAGAAAAUAGAAAUUAGUUUGAAUUAGUACGUUUCUCAUUAACAUUAAUGAUGGAAUCAAAAUCUUUGUUAGCGGUCACCUGUUCGACCUCAGUAAUGUUAACGCGUGGACCCAGCUGUUGUAGAAACUUUGCAAAGGAUCUCGAGGAAGAAAAAUGAUUGCAGUGUAAGACUUAAUUACCGAUUCUAUGAUGGGGAAUAAAUAUGUUUAUAACAGAAUUGUAAGUUAUAAUAUGUAAAAUUUAAUUAACGAUUCUAUUAUACGAAAUAAAUAUGUUUAUAACGUAAUCGUAAGCCUUAAUAAUAAGAAAUCAAUAUCUCCAUCUAUUAAUGUUCCUCAUGUAUUUAUUAUUCUUUUUUAUAUAUAUUUGAUACUUUCAAACUCUACUCACUUUAUAUAGAUUGUGUAAAACUUAAGAGAACUCAGUAAGUGAGUAUAGAGAUCAAAUAACAUUAUUUAUAGCCAAAGCUUCCCUCAAGCUUUAAUGGCUAUAUGUCCCACAUAUUUAUUAUAUCAUGGGUAGUUACAAGUGAAUCACUUUAAGAGCUUAUAAAUGUAAAUGUUACAACUUUAAAAUGAACGAUUUUAAGAGUUUAUAAAUAUAAAUAUUAUAAUUUUUAGAGUGGAUCACUUUUAGUGUGAAGGAGAGUUAGAGAAUCGAUUAUAAUGACUCUGUAAAAAACAGUCAACAUGCAUUGCUAAUAAUUUGCAACGGAGAAUUCUUUAUUGAGAUUUAUUGUUAAACCUCGCUUUGGAAUGAAUUGAUCACGAGAAUAAAAAAUAAUCACUACAUACACCCUUUAACUAUUUUACUUGAAAGUUUCGAUUAUUUCCUAAGCUCCUUUGUUCAUUUUCUUUUUUAUUACCCCUUCAUGCACGACACUUUAUGCCACUUCAUGAUACCCUUGUUUUCAACGUUUUACACUACUUUAAAAGCGUGUUUGGUAGUGUGGUUGCGGGUGCUUUUCAAAUAACUUUUCGUGUCAAAAUACAUGCCAAUGAUAUUUUUUUUAUUUUUUAAAAAUUAUUUUUGACAUCAGCACAUCAAAACGAUCCAAAACAUAUAAACCUUAUUAAAUUUUAAUUUAAAAAAUAUUCAAUUUUUUUGGGAACGCAGCCGCAUCCGCGUUCACAAACGAGUCCUCAAGUCAAUUGUUAGAUACUAAAAACAGCAAGAACUGUACUCAAUCAGCAACCACUGUGAAAUUACCACUCAAAAUCCCAUGAAUAUAUAUAAAAAAGAAUUUUGUCUAGAAAAAUUCUAUCAAAUUCUCUACUUUAUUACUCUUCAAUGUUUUACACUGCUUUAGUUCUAAAAAAACUCCUAGAUGUUAUAAAGCAAGAUAUAUACAACUAUAUAUAUAUAUAUAUAUAUAUAUAUAUAUAUGAAAGUGUAAUAAAUAUUAUAUUUUAAAGUAUUUUUUAAAUAUAUUAAAAUAAUAUUUUUUUAAAAAUAAUUUUGAUAUUAGUAUAUUAGAAUAAUAAAAAAAUAAUUUAAAACAAUAAAAAAUAUUGAAAUUUUUAAAAAAUAUGAUUUGACUGAACUCCAAAACACACGCAUGCUCCCUCAGCAGCCACCACGAAAUUACCACUCUAAAUUCCAGCUCAAUAAUUUAUUCUUUAGCAAUUAUUGCUUGCUCUUUGACAAGUACUGCUUUGCUAAUAAUUUGCAAGAAACUUUCUCAAUUUCCUUCUAUUUUCUUUUUAUCAUGGAAACUUUAAGUCACAUACCACUAAAUUACCGAUAAUUAAAUUUCAAUGUGUAAUUGUGUAGGUUUCAAUUAAAAAUGUUUUAAUUUGAGAAAAUUUGUUAAAAAAAUAGUAUAAAUUAUAUUUUAGAGUUUAUUUUAAUAGUUUAAAUUUUUAGAUGAAUAGUUUUCUAACAAAUAAAGACAUAGUUUUACGAUAAAAUGCAUUUUUUAAAAUGAAAUUAUAUUAAAUUAAGCAUGGUCGAGAUUAUUCAAAUUAUUAAUUAAUUAUAAUUAACUUUAUGUCUUUAGAGGAAACAAAAGGAAAGGACAAAAUGAUUAAUUAAAUUUUUAGAUGAAUUAAUAAAUCUUUACAAAUAAAAGAUAUAGUUUUUCAUUUUUUGAAAUGAAAUUAUAUUAAAUUAAGCAUGCUCGACAUUGUUCAAAUUAUUAAUUAAUUAUAAUUAACUUUAUGUCUUCAGAGUAAACAAAAGGGAAGGACAAAAUUAUCUUCCCCACAACGAUAAACCUAGCCCCCUUUCCAAACCAAUCCUCUAGUAAAUAGAAUGAUGGUCCCAUAAAUUGCUUUAUUCUUUCCAGCCCGCCAAGUAGUUUGGUCUCCCUCACAGGACCUCCUUAGCAUGGGAAUCAUAUGAAUUUCCUUGCUUUUCUUCCUCUACGCGUUACCUUUCACCUUUUAUAAUUAUUAUUAUUGCAUUGCUAAUAAUUUGCAAGAAAGAUUAUGAACAUUUUUUUUAGUGAAAUAAGCUCAUUUCAAAUUAACAAAAUAUAGUUUGUUGAGGCUUGUCUUGAAACCUCACUUUGGAUUAAUUGACAGGAAUAAUAAAAUUUUAUUCAAAUUAUAUAAAAUAUUAGGUGUGGAUGUGCCCUUGCCCAACAAGCUACCAUGACCUUAUCUAGAGUUGGGUGUUAACGAGACAAGCCCUUGUCCAACUCAGAGUUCGGCAUAGAUAUAUCAUGACCCAACAUAAAGUUUGGAUGCGGAAAAAAUAUAAUUUCAUUUUGAAUUAUGAUUUUUGUUGGAUAGUCUUUAAAUAAAUUUUUUUUUUAGAAAAUCAUGACCCAUAUCUGGUUAUCGGAAAAACAAUUAUGGUUGAUUUAGCCUCAUCUUCUCUGCUUGUAAAAUUGGGGCAGAUUAUGGACUUAACCGAGCAAUUACCGCUCAAAAUUCCUAGCAAUUUACAAAGGAAUUUUCCUUGCUUUUUCUCAGUAUAUUAUUAGAAAAACCGUCAUUGACUGAUUUAAUUGUAAAGUCUUUGCAAGAAAGUAAAAAAAUUAGUUUUUUAAAAUAAAAAAUAUAGAGAGAGAAAUAAAAAAUAAAAAAUAAAAAAAGGAGCGAAAGGAAACAACCGCCAUCUUUCUUGUUCCUUUUCCCUUCUUUACACGGCGUCCUCGAUGAAAAUAGCAAACACCCCAUUUGAAUAUAUAAUUAAAGAAAGAAAGAAAGAGAGGAAAAUUCCUUCCUCAAUACUUACCGCUACACGCUUCAGAAAUUCCUUGCUUUUUUUUUUUUUUUUUUCAUCUCUACUUACGUGUUACCUUUUACCUUUUAUAAUUAUGAUUAUUGCAUUGCUAAUAAUUUCCUUGCAUUUCUUUAAUAUAUAAUUAAAGAAAGAAAGAUGUUGAACACUUUUUUAGUGAAUUCAAAAUAACAAAAUAAGGUUGUUGAGGCUUUUCUUGGAACCUAGCUCAGGGAUUAAAUUAUAAAAAAAUAUAUUUAUUUUUCUGAUUAUAUAGCAAUAACAAAUUAAAUAAUAGCAACAAGUAAAUAGGAAUUAGUUUGAAUAAAUGGUACCAGUUCCUAUUAUAAUAUAUCUAGAGAAGAAGUUCGAAGAAUAGAAUGAAGUCAAAUAUCCUUACAUAAUGCUAGGUUUUAAUAUAUAAUUAAAAAGUUUUCCAUGAACCAAAUAAUAAAAAUAUUGUACAACUUUUUUGAAUGAAUUAUUAACAUAGAGGCUUAUUUGAUUUGAAUAUAUUAUUUGAUUAGUCCAUUUAUAGGUUGUCUCUAUUAUUCCUGCCUUGCAUUGCCAGGAAAUUUCACUAGAAAUUUCUAGUAAUUUAAACAGGAAAUUUGCUGGUGAUAAACCUGGAAUAUGAUUUUCAACUUUCGUAGGCGAGCACUGAAGUCCCAAACUUCAAGAAUUUCUUUUCUUUUCCUUUUGUAUCUUCUCAUUUUCUUUCUAGGAAUGUUAUGAGAAGCAGCAGAGUCAAGAGGCCAUUUUUGAUCCUGUGGACCGGAAGUAGUUGCAUAGUUAGUCGUAACCUCUGAUCAAUGGAGUCGUGGGUAAGACUUGGCUAAAUGGCCUAUCUGAUCAGGAAAUUGGCAUUUCGGUUGAUAAUGCAUUUGAGUGGUACCGAUUGGUUGAAGACUUGCAGUUGUCUUUGAAUGGACCGACCUUGAGGGAUUUUAUUGUGGCCUGGAGACCGAGAAGAUCCAUUAGUCUUAUUUGAACCCUUCGGGUGAGACCCACCAUAUGAACUAUUUAAGUUCUGUUUGUGAAGAUAAGAAUAAUUGGCAGAGGCCACAAGCUGCUGAGUUGAAGAUUCCAAACGCCGCAGGUAACUGUCAUGCCCCUCAAGAAUAUCUUGAAGCUCUUCAAAUUAUCCCAAUAGUUCUUAUAUUAAAAUCUCAUUUAUCAUAUGUUACAUCUAUCAAAAAAAAAAAAAUAAUUUGUGACGUGAACUAAAGCUAUAUGUGAAAACUAGAAAUAACAAAUGUAUGAAAAAAAAAUCAGCUGUGAUUAACAGAUUAACGAUGGAAAUUAAGAUGAUGAAUAUUUUUUUGUAAAUUAAUUUCAAUUUAAAAUAACUACAAAGAAGUUAAUUAGGAUUCCUUCCUUGAAAUUAUUAAAAAUAUAGUAUUAGAAUUAUAGAAUGCUAGGUUUUAAUAUAUAAUUUUUAAUAUUAAUUGUUAAAGAGUCUCUCUCGAACCAAAUAAUAAAGAUAUUAUAUAACUCUUUUGUAUGAAUUGUAAAUCUAGGGAUAGUUUUGGGUUUUCCAAUCACAACUUUGGACUAAAAUUAAUAACAAAAUAAAGACCAAAGAUAACGGUAUGUAAAUCUAGGGACCAAAAAUAAUACAACUGCAUUUACUGUAGAUUUCACUUAGAAUUUCUAGUAAAUUACAAAGGAAAUUUCUUGUGCUUUUUAACGUACAUGAAUUGAAAAACUACCAUUGACUGACUUGCAUUGACUGACUUGCUAAGCAUUUGCUGCUCGAAAUUUUCUCCCUAAAAAUUUUCAAGCAAUUUACGGAGCAAAUUUCCUUAUGCUCUCUCUUGUAUAUUAUUAGAAAAAUUGUUUUUAAAAAUCAAUUUUUUUUUAUUUUCCUGAGAUUCUAUUUUUUAGUCGAGUCAAUUUCAAGUUGGGUUCAAUAAUUAUGAUUAAAUUUACUGAAAAAAAAAUAAUUUUAUGUCACUUCAUGAUACCCAUGUUUUCAACGCUUUACACUGCUUUAAUAAAUUGUUACAGUAAUAGCACAGAGAGGAGCGGUUCCAGAAAAAACAAUAAUGGAGAUGAAGCAAAAUCUGUGUUUGAUUUUUUCUUUUUUGUGUUUUCGGUACAUUGGUCAACAAUAGCUUGGAAGAGUUUGGAAUCAGUAACACGUGGACCCAGUUGUUGUGGAAACUUUGCAGAGGAUCUUCACUCUGCAGGAAGAAAAAUGAUUUUAAUAGAUGUACUGUACAUCAUUUGAAUUUAUUAAAAGUAACGUGUAAUGUAAAGUAUGAUUCACUUACCAUUAACUAGUUGGACAAAAAAACUAAACUUUCUCAAUUUCCUUCUAUUUUCUUUUUAUCAUGGAAACUUUAAGUCACAUCUGCGCCUACCACGAAAUUACCGAUAAGUAAAUUUCAAUGCGUAAUUGUGUAGGUUUCAAUUAAAAAUGCUUUAAUUUGAAAAAUUAUGUUAACAAUAAUAUAAAUUAAUUUUUCUUCAAAAUAAAAAGUAAUUGGGUAUUAAUUUAGGCUAUAAAGAUAAAAUAAUAAUAAUAAAAAAGAGUUCGAGGGUAUUCAUUUUAUUAUUUGUUAUGUAACUAUAUAAUCUAAUUUGUUGAUGUGGAAAAUAGCACAAAGUUUUUGACAUGGAUAUUGGUGAGAAGCAAAAGCAGUAUCCACUAUGAGAGCUUUUGUAAACGCGUGGACCCAGUUGUUGUGGAAACUUUGCAAAGGAUCUGCAGGAAGAAAAAUGAAAUUUGCAAAGUAUUUGUGUGUAUUAUAUAAUUGUGUUAAUUUAAGGAUUAUUUUUUAGUUGUAUUAAUUUAGAAAAUAUUUUGUCUCACCGGAAAACUCUAAUUACGUUCGUAUAUUUGUUUUUGGUAACAGAUGCAAUAUGCUUUUUAAUUCAAGAUAUAUUAAAAUAAUAAUUUUUAAAAAAAAAUUAUUUUUUUUAUUUUAGUAUAUUAAAAAUAAAAAAUUUAAAAAUAGUAAUUUAAUAUUUUCUUAAAAAUAUAUUUAAAAAACACUUUUAAUUUUGUUUUUCAACUGUACUAUUCCUUGAAAAAACUCAAACUCUAAAUAAUAUCUUCUACUACAUACUUUCUAAGACUAAAAAUUAAUCUAAAUGUUUUUGAAAAGUAGUUCAACCAAAGUACCAAAUAUGUUUAUAUACUCCAUCUUCAACCACUGUAAAAUUACCACUCUAAAUUACAACUCGGUAUCGAUUACCUUUUAUCUUUGACAAUUAUUGCAUUGCUAAUAAUUUGCAAGAAAAAAUACAUUCUCAAUUUCCUUCUAUUUUUUUUUUAACAUGAAAAACUUUAAGUCACUCAAUCUGCAACCACCAUGAAAUUACCGGUCCGAAUUCCAGCUCAAUAUUUACCGGUACGACACGCUUGAGGAAUUUCCUUGCUUUUCUUCCUCUACGCGUUACCUUUCACCUUUUAUAAUUAUUAUUAUUGCAUUGCUAAUAAUUUGCAAGAAAGAUUAUGAACAUUUUUUUAGUGAAAUAAGCUCAUUUCAAAUUAACAAAAUAUAGUUUGUUGAGGCUCGUCUUGGAACCUCGCUUUGGAUUAAUUGACAGGAAUAGUAAAAUUUUAUUCAAAUUAUAUAAAAUAUUGGGUGCUGAUGUGCCUUUAUCCAACUUAGAAUUGCGACAAGCUACCAUGACCUUAUCUAGAGUUGGGUGUUAAUGAGACGAGUCCUUGCCCAACUCAGAGUUUGGCAUGGAUAUAUCAUGACCCAACAUAAAGUUUGGAUGCAGAAAAAAUAUGACUUUAUUUUGAAUUAUGAUUUUUGUUGGAUGGUCUCUAAAUAAAUUUUUUUUAUAGAAAAUCAUGACCCAUAUCUGGGUAUCGGAAAAACAAUUAUGGUUGAUUUAGCCUCAUCUUCUCUGCUUGUAAAAUUGGGGCAGAUUAUGGACUUAACCGAGCAAUUACCGCUCGAAAUUCCUAGCAAUUUACAAAGGAAUUUUCCUUGUUUUUUCUCAGUUCAUUAUUAGAAAAACUGUCAUUGACUGAUUUAAUUGUAAAGUCUUUGCAAGAAAGCUAAAAAAAUUAGAGUUUUUUAAAAUAAGAAAUAUAGAGAGAAAAAUAAAAAAUAAAAAUAAAAAAAGGAGCAAAAGGAAACAACCCCCAUCUUUCUUGUUCCUUUUCCCUUCUUUACAUGGCGUCCUCGAUGAAAAUAGCAAACACCCCAUUUGAAUAUAUAAUUAAAGAAAGAAAGAAAGAGAGGAAAAUUCCUUCCUCAAUACUUACCAGUACUACACGCUUGAGAAAUUCCUUUCUUGUUACCUUUUACCUUUUAUAAUUAUGAUUAUUGCAUUGCUAAUAAUUUCCUUGCAUUUCUUUAAUAUAUAAUUAAAGAAAGAAAGAUGUUGAACACUUUUUUAGUGAAUUCAAAAUAACAAAAUAAGGUUGUUGAGGCUUUUCUUGGAACCUCGCUCAGGGAUUAAUUAACAAGAAUAAAAAAAUCCCCUGCAAAUUAAACAAAAUUUAUUAUUAAUCAUUGAUAUUUAUUAUUGAUCAUCAAUAUUGAAUAAUGGCUUAUUUUCUAGCAUAAAUAAAAUUGUUAAAAAACAUGAUUACACAAUUAAUGAUGAGAUCGGUUAUAAAAAUGACUAAAUUGAGGUUUUUCAAUUACCUUUAAACGUAUCAUGGUUUUAAUAGGUGGACAGUACAUCCUAUUAUGUAAAUUAUAAAAAAUUAUAUUUAUUUUUCUGAUAUAUAUAGCAAUAACAAAUUAAAUAAUAGCAACAAGUAAAUAGGAAUUAGUUUGAAUAAAUGAUACCAGUUCCUAUUAUUAUAUAUCUGGAGAAGAAGUUCGAACAAUAGAAUGAAGUCAAAUAUCUUUACAUAAUGCAAGGUUUUAAUAUAUAAUUAAAAAGUUUUCCAUGAACCAAAUAAUAAAAAUAUUGUAUAACUUUUUUGAAUGAAUUAUUAACGUAGAGGCUUAUUUGAUUUGAAUAUAUUAUUUGAUUAGUCUAUUUAUAGGUUGACUCUACUAUUCCUGCCUUGCAUUGCCAGGAAAUUUCACUAGAAAUUUCUAGUAAACGAAAUUUGCUGGUGAUAAACCUGGAAUAUGAUUUUCAACUUUCGUAGGCGAGCACUAAAGUCCCAAACUUCAAGAAUUUCUUUUCUUUUCCUUUUGUAUCUUCUCAUUUUCUUGGCAUGCGCGCAGCUGCCUCGAGGAAAAAACGUUUCAGAUGCGGAAAAUAAAGAUGAAAGUGGAAAAUAGAAGCGGGGAAAAAAAUCCCAAAUAUCGACAAACAUCACAAGAGAAGCUUGAUAUCUCUUCGUCCCUUGGUAUCGUGUGAAUGUGGAUAUUAUUUCAGAAUAUCAAUUCAACCGUACUCCAAAGAACACUCAUACUCCAAUAUCAGCAACCACCACGAAAGUUACCACUCUAAAUUCCAGCUCAAUAAUUUAUUCUUUGACAAUUUUACUUCUAAAAAAAAUGAAUUUUUUUUUAUAAUUAUACGCCAUCAGCAACUACCAUUACGACUCCAAAUUCCAGCUCAAUAUCGAUCAACACGUGGCUAAAGAAUUUGUUUCCUUUUUUUUCCUGCACGUGUUACCUUUUUAUCUUUUAUAAUUAUAAGUAUUGCGUUGCUAAUAAUUUGCAAGAAAUAAUAUUCUUUCUCUAAAAAGGGCUUGAGAAAACCCUAAGCAUAGUAUAUAGUCUCUUAUAGGAAUCUCUUUAUUAAAUCAUCAAAAUAUCAAAGUCUGUUUCCAAAGACUAUGACUACAGUUUAUAUAUAGAAACAACCAAAUAUAAAAAUUAUUUUUUAAAAAUAGAAAAAACAGAAGAGCUUGAUAAUAUUUAAUUAAAAAAUAAAAUAGAAAAAUUAUUCCUUUUUAAGUAGGAAAAAAAAAUAUAAAGAUUUAAUAAUACUGAAUAAGAAAAAUUAAAAUAUUCUUUCUCUGAAAAGGGCUUAAGAAAACCCUAAGCAUUGUAGAUAAUCUCUUAUAUGAAUCUCAUCAAAAUAUCAUAGUAUAUUUCCAAAUACUAUUACGUACUACAUUUAUAUAUAUAUAUAUAUAUAUAUAUAUAGAGAGAGAGAGAAAGAGAGAGAGAGAUAGAGAGAGAAACAACUAAGUAGGUAAAGCUUAUGUUUCUUUGUUCUUGUUCCUUUAUAUAUAUACAUUCUCAAUUUCAUAAAAAAAAUUAAUUAGUCCUUGAAAUCUUAAAAAAUAGUAUUUAAUCCUUAUGUUAUUAUAUUCAUCUCUAAUUUAAUUUUUUUCAUCCAUUCAUCUUUUUAUUUAUUUAAUAGCUUAAGUUUUUAGUUAAAAGAUAAAUAGUUUUACUAUUAAAAGCAUUUUUUCGAAAUAAAAAUAAUAUUAAAUUAGGCAUCCUCAACAUUGUUCAAAUUAUUAAUUAAUUAUAAUUAACUUGAGGUUUAGAAGAAACAAAAGGGAAGGACAAAAUUAUCUUCCCCACAACCAUAGACCUAACCCCUUUCCAGACCAGUCCCCUGGUAAAUGGAAUAAUGGUCCCAUAAACAGCUUUUUUUCUUUCCAGCCCGCCAAGCAGACUAAGGCCUGUUUGUUUCUGUGUUUUAAAAGUGUUUUUGAUAAAAUUUAAAAUUUUUUUGUUUUUUUUAUUAACUUCAAAUUAAUAUGUUUUUAGUGUUUUUAAAUCAUUUUGAUGUGCUGAUGUCAAAAAUAAUUUUUAAAAAAUAAAAAAACAUCAUUAGCAUGUAUUUUGACACGAAAAACUAUUUGAAAAGCAACCGCAACCACACUACCAAACACACUCUAAGCAGUUCGGUCUUCCUCGCUGGACCACCUUAGCAUGAGAAUCACACUAGUUGGAAGUAUCUUUAAACCUCAUAAAAAUGAAUAACUGAUAAUAAUAUAAUUGGGAUUUAAAAAAAAUUCAUAAAAAAAUUUCUUAAAAAAAUCCAAAAAAUUAAACCGGACAAAAAUAAACAACCAAUAAUAAUAUAGUUAAAAUGAUAAAAAAGUGUUUAAAAAGCAAUUUGAAACCAAUUAAUCUUAAAAAAAAAAAACCAAAAAGAAACAUGCGAUGAAAACCAAUUCAUGAAAAAGUAAUUGGAUAUUAAUUUAGACUAAAAGGAUGAAAUAAUAAAAACAAAAGGAGAGUUUGAGGGUAUUCAUUGUUCAAAGGAACGCAAAAAUGCAUUCCAAGUAUGAAGUGUUUUAUUGUUAUAAAGUUUUUCAAACUUACAAUAUGGAGAGAGAAAUAAAUAAAAAGAAAAAAUAGCAAAAGGAAACAGCCCCCAUCUUUCUUGUUCCCUUUCCCACGGCCUACUCAAUGAAAAAGCAAACACCCCAUUGGAUUUCCCACGGCCGCCCACGAAAUCCCUUUAUCCUCUGCUGUUAAUUUUUUAAUGACGCAUAUCAGGUGUUUGAUAAAAUUCCUUAGCUGGGAAAGGAAAAAAAACCAUGUUAAGAAUGCUUUAGUCCUUUUCGAGUGGAAAGUGGUGUGAAAGUGAGAAGUACUGUGAGAGCUUUAUACCACUUUCUAUCUUAGACGUAAUGGCUUUGGCAAAAAGAAACCAAUAAAAGUUAGUGUUCGCACUGCUUUAGUCCAAGAGUCUUUCAUGGUUGCAUUGAUUGACUGGAAAAAAUCUCAAAGUUUUUAGAAAGAAACAGCCUUCAUUGCUUUUCGAAACCAAUCUCAGUAAUGUUAACGCGUGGACCCAGUUAUUGUGGAAACUUUGCAAAGGACCUCGAGGAAGAAAAAUGAUUGCAUUGCUAAUAAUUUGCAAGAGAGAAUUCUUUCACUGAAUAGAAAAAAGUAUUAUUUUUAAAAUAACAACAAGUAAAUUUAAAAAUUAGUAUUUUUUAAAUAAAAAACUAAAAAUUCCUGAUAAUAUUGAAUAAAAAAUAAAAUAUAAAAAUUAUUCUUUUUAAGUAUAAAAAAAUAUAAAAGUUUAAUAAUACGGAAUAGAAAUAAAUAAAAAUUCUAAACUAAAUAAAAAUAUUUUCUAUCCCAAAAAUUCUUAUAUCAAAAUCUCAUUUAUCAUAUUUUAUAUCUAUAAAAAACUAAUUUGUCAUGUGGAAUAAGUCUAUAUGCUAAAAUCAGAAAAAAAAUGUUACAAAAACAAAUUCCACAAAAGGCUGUGAUUAAAAAGAUGAUAGAUAUUUUUUAGUAAAUUAAUUUCAAUUCAAAAUAACAAAAUAAGGUUUAUUGAGGCUUACCGUUAAACCUUGCUUUGGGAUGAAUUGAUCACGAGAAUAAGAAAUCAUGUGCAAAUUAUACAAGAUUUAUUAUUAAUCAUCAAGAUUUAUUAUUUAUUAUCAAUAUUGAAUAAUGAUUUAUUUUAUAAUAUAAAUUAUGUUUAAAAUAAAAUUGAUAAAAUUAAAAUACAUGAAACGAGGUUGUAUAUUUUGAAACUAAAUUAAAAUCAUUUUCUUUUUCUAUUAUAUCCUUCAAAAUUAUUUAUUUUAUAAAAAACAAAACUUGUUAGUUUGCAAGUACACAUGUCAUGAGUCUCCACUGCAUCACUUUUGCAAAAUCAUAUGGCCCACUGUAUAUUUUGAAACUUGUUGAAGCAAAAUCUGUUUUAUUGAUCAUCAUCAAUAUUGAAGAAUGAUUUAUUUUCUAGUAUAAACUAUGUUUGAAAUAAAAUUGAUAAAAGACAUGACAUAUACAAUUAAUGAUGGGAUGGUAUCUAAAAAUGAUUAAAUUGGCAUUUUUCAAUUACCUUUAAACAUGCAUAUCAUGAUUUUAAUUGGUGGACAAUACUGUUAAAUAAUAUAUUUAUUUUGUUUUAUUUAUUAAGAUUAAAAUAAUAUUUUUAGCUUAAUCUAUAUAUAAACUCUUUAUAUUUAGAUUAAGCAAAAAUAAUAAUAUAUAUCAGAAUUCUAGUCUCAUUCCUUUUCGUAUUUAUUUUUAUGUUAAUUAAAUUGUUUUAACAAUACAUCAUGUAAAUUAUAUAAAAAUAUAUUUAUUUUUCUGAUAUAUAAAUACCUCUCUGUCCCAUUGCUGCCAUUUCAUAGCUAACUCUUUGUUAUAUUUAACUUCCUCUUCUUUGCUUCUUGCUCAUAACGAUAACUUGAAAGCCUUACGUUCAGAUAGAUAAUCAUUGACUAGCUCAUCCUAUAUCAUUCUAUUCAAUUUAUAUAUGCAGAAAGAAAAACGCAAGCAAUCCAAAGAUGAAGAAAACGCUUCAUCCUCGCGAAAGAGAAGAAAAGCUGACCUCAGUAAGCCUAUAUAAAGAAUACAAUUAACCUCAUUUCAACAUCAUAGUUAACCUCAUUUCAAUAUCAUAGCUUUGGAAUUUCAUAGCUAACUCUUUGUUAUAUUGCUCCAUUGGUAAUUGAUUGUGCCUUGAUUUCUGCAGCUGCCAUGACAGAGCCAGAGUCUUCUCGAUCUAUACCAGAAGGGGCCUAUGAUGUCUUCUUGAGUUUUAGAGGAGAAGAUACUCGCAAGACGUUUACUGAUCAUCUAUAUGCUGCCUUAGAUCAAGCAGGAAUCCACACUUUUCGAGAUGAUGAUGAACUUCCUAGAGGAGAAGAAAUCUCCGAGCAUCUUCUCAAGGCAAUUCGAGAAUCAAAGAUAUCCAUAGUUGUCUUCUCAAAAGGAUAUGCUUCUUCUAGAUGGUGUCUCAAUGAACUUGUAGAGAUUCUUAAGUGCAAAAGGAAGAAAACCGGUCAGAUUGUUCUUCCUAUAUUCUAUGACAUUGAUCCUUCAGAUGUGAGAAAACAGACUGGCAGUUUUGCAGAGGCAUUUGAUAAGCAUGAAGAGCGUUUUGAAGAGAAGUUGGUGAAGGAGUGGAGAAAAGCUCUUGAGGAUGCCGGAAACCUAUCUGGAUGGAGUCUCAAUGAUAUGGCAAAUGGGUAUGCCUUUUUUCCAAAUUUAUGGAGUCAAUAUACUUUACAUUUUUUAAUGUGAAACAAUAAAAUACUUAAUUGACUCGCUAUCAAUGACUUGCUUUUGUCUAUGAGCAGGCAUGAAGCAAAAUUUAUCAAAGAGAUUAUCAAGGAUGUGUUGAAUAAAUUAGAUUCCAAGUACUUCUAUGUUCCUGAGCACCUAGUAGGUAUGGAUCGGCUUUCUCGCAAUAUUUUUGACUUUGUAAGUACUGCAACAGAUGAUGUACGCAUNNNNNNNNNNNNNNNNNNNNNNNNNNNNNNNNNNNNNNNNNNNNNNNNNNNNNNNNNNNNNNNNNNNNNNNNNNNNNNNNNNNNNNNNNNNNNNNNNNNNNNNNNNNNNNNNNNNNNNNNNNNNNNNNNNNNNNNNNNNNNNNNNNNNNNNNNNNNNNNNNNNNNNNNNNNNNNNNNNNNNNNNNNNNNNNNNNNNNNNGAUGAUAGAGGAAAAGUUCUGAUCAAAGAACGACUUCGUCGCAAAAGAGUUCUUGUUGUUGCUGAUGAUGUGGCUUAUCUGGACCAGCUAAAUGCUUUGAUGGGAGAGCGAAGUUGGUUUGGUCCCGGAAGUAGAGUAAUUAUUACAACAAGAGAUUCAAAUCUUCUUCGUGAAGCAGAUCAAACAUAUCGGAUCAAAGAGCGACUUUGUCGCAAAAGAAUCUUGUUGUUGCUGAUGAUGUGGCUCAUCAGGAGCAGCUAAAUGCAUUGAUGGGAGAUCGAAGAUGGUUUGGUCCCGGAAGUAGAGUAAUUAUUACAACAAGAGACUCAGAUCUUCUUCGUGACGCAGAUAAAACAUGUCAGAUCGAAGAAUUGAAACUAGAUGAGUCCCUUCAGCUUUUCAGCAGGCAUGCCUUUAAGGACACCAAGCCAGCAGAAGAUUACAUUGAGCUUUCGAAGAAAGCCGUUGGUUACUGUGGAGGACUUCCUUUAGCUCUCAAGGUUAUAGGAGCUCUUCUGUACGGGAAAGAAAAAGAUAGAUGGGAAAGUGAAAUUGACGACUUGAGCAGAAUUCCAAACCAAGAUAUUCAAAGAAAGCUUCUAAUAAGUUAUGACGCACUUGAUGGUGAACUACAAAGAGCAUUCCUUGAUAUUGCAUGCUUCUUUGUUGGUAUAGAGAAAGAAUACGUCGCACAAGUGCUAGGAGCCCGUUGCCGUCGCAAUCCAGAAGUUGUUUUGGAAACUCUCCGUGAAAGGUCUCUGAUUCAAUUUCAUGAGUGUAUAAUUGAAGAUGAAAGGCAGUUAUCUGGAAGGACGGUAGCCAUGCAUGAUCUAUUACGAGACAUGGGAAGGGAGGUCGUUUGUAAAGAGUCUCCCUUGCAUCCUGAAGCAAGGACCAGAAUUUGGAAUAAAGACGAUGCAUGGAAUGUACUUGAGCAGCACAAGGUAAGUAAGAGCUCAAUGCAUACACGAAAGCAUAGUCAUGCGUAUUUUCUAGUCAAGCUUAUUACAAAUAAUUGAAUGAAAGUUGUAUUGAUUUUUUUUUUAGGGUACGGAUAAAGUUGAGGGUCUUGCACUGGAUGUCAGAGCAUCAGAAACUAAAUCACUUAGCGCAGGAUCAUUUGCAGAAAUGAAAUGUUUAAAUUUACUCAAAAUCAACGGAGCACAUCUCACCGGAUCCUUCAAAUUGCUUUCUAAAGAGUUGAUGUGGAUUUGUUGGCAUGAAUUUCCUUUGAAAUAUUUUCCAUCUUAUUUUACUUUGGACAAUCUAGCUGUUCUUGAUAUGCCGUACAGUAACCUCAAAGAACUAUGGAAGGGAAAAAAGGUGCGAAACAUGCUACAAUCCCUAAAAUUUCUCCAGUAUGUAAUUUAUAUUUACAUGUUAUGACUUUCUAUGAUUAAUUUUCAUUAUUUUUCUCUCUAUUAUAACAGAUUCUCGACAAGCUUAAAAUUCUUAAUCUCAGUCAUUCUCAGCACCUUAUUAAAACACCAGACUUGCACAGUUCAAGUCUAGAGAAACUAAUUCUGGAAGGUUGCUCGAGUUUAGUUGAGGUGCAUCAAUCAAUUGAAAAUUUGACGAGCCUUGUUUUCUUAAAUCUGAAGGGAUGUUGGAGUCUGAAGACUCUCCCUGAAAGCAUUGACAAUGUAAAAUCUCUUGAAACUCUGAAUAUUUCUGGGUGUUCACAAGUUGAGAAAUUGCCGGAACGCAUGGGUGAUAUGGAAUUCUUAACCGAGCUGCUAGCUGAUGGGAUUGAAAAUGAGCAAUUUCUCUCUUCAAUUGGACAAUUAAAGCAUUGCAGAAGGUUAUCAUUGUGUGGAGACAGUUCGACGCCACCAAGUUCUUCUUUGAUUUCAACAGGUGUUUUGAAUUGGAAACGUUGGCUGCCAGCAUCUUUCAUUGAAUGGAUAUCAGUGAAACAUCUUGAGCUUUCUAAUAGUGGUUUGUCUGAUCGCGCAACUAACUGUGUUGAUUUCAGUGGUUUGUCCGCUCUAGAAAAAUUGACUCUAGAUGGAAACAAAUUCUCUAGCCUGCCUUCUGGGAUCGGCUUCCUUUCCGAGCUAAGGGAGUUGUCUGUUAAGGGAUGCAAAUAUCUUGUAUCAAUCCCAGAUCUUCCCUCAAGUUUAAAGAGUGUGUUUGCAUGUGAUUGCAAAUCAUUGAAAAGAGUAAGAAUACCAAGCGAGCCAAAAAAAAGACUAUUUAUAAAGCUAGAUGAAAGUCAUUCGUUAGAAGAGUUUCAGGGCAUUGAAGAUCUAAGUAAUUGUUUCUGGUAUAUUCGUGUUGAUGACCGCAGGCAUUCAACAAGUAAAUUACUGGAGCGUUGUUGAGGUACUAUUUCUUUCCGUCUCUCUUUCGCACAAAAAGAAACACACACAAUUGACACAUACAUUGAUUAAUGUCUAAAAUCUCAGCAUUCCUUGAAAUCAAUAUGUAUAUAGGCAAUAAUCAUUAUUAUUAUUAUUAUAUUUAAAAAAACAAAUAUCAUCUUUAAUAAUAUUUUUUUAUUAAAUAUUUAAAGUCUGAUUGGUUUUAUUUUUUAUUUCUUGAUUUUAUGAUAAUAUAUUUAUACAGGCAAUGUGCAACGGUCGUCACGGGUAUUUUAUUCGCCACACUCCUGGUCAGAUGCCAAAUUGGAUGAGCUACAGGGGAGAAGGACGCUCAUUGUCAUUCCAUAUACCUCCAGUCUUCCAAGGCUUAGUUGUUUGGGUUGAUAAGGAUGAUAAGGAUGCUCACAUUAUUAUUAUUAUAAGAAAUAAUAGAAAUGGUAAUCUCUUGUUUCAAUGUACGAAAUGGUAUUAUCAUCCAAAAACUGGAAGUAUAAGAUACAUAAGAAGAAGUGAAAUGGCAAUGGAAGAUUACUGUGCAGAUGACGAAUUGGAACUAUACAUUUAUUCAAAGCCAUCACCGUUGGCAAUGGCAAUGGCAAUGAAGGAUGCUGUGAUGCCUUCAUUUGAACCGUCUACACCUAAGCAAUGUGGGGUCCAUGUGAUCGUAGGAAAGUCAGAUUCAUUUGAAGAGUUGGCAGUGGGAAGAGAUGCAGUGAUGCUUCCUCAUCCUCGUUGUGGUUCGAUUACAGCGUCUACACCUAAGCAAUGGAUUGACUUUUUAUUUGCGAAGCUGCAAAACCAUAACCUCAAUUUAAGGCUUUUUGGUAAGAAUACAUAUUUCCUUUAGUUAUUUCUAUUUUAAUAUUCUAUUUAAUUUAAGAGAUUAAAUAUCAUCUUUAAUUAUUACAUUUUUCUUAUUUAAUCUAAAAAAAUAAAUAUUAUCUUUAACAAUAUUUUUUAUUAAAUAUUUAGAGUCUGCUUGGUUUUAAUUAUUUCUUUUCUUGAUUUUAUGAUAAUAUUUUUCUUAUUUAAUAUAAAAAAUAAAUAUUAUCUUUAAUAAUUAGAUCUAUCGAAUAUCACUUAAAAAAUAAAUUAUAGCUUUAAUAAUUAUUUUUUGAAAAACAAAAGCCAACAAUCACUAACAUAUUUUAUUAAAAUCACUUUAGUUUAUUUAGAAAAUAUUGAAAAUUGAUUUUUGUUUUUUUACUUCAAAAUAAAAAAAAUUGAAUAAUGUUUUUAUAUUUUAUUUCGAACUCGAUAUUUUAAAACAAAAAUGAAAAAGAUGUGAUAUUAACCUUUUUUAUUAUAAAGUAAGUUUCUUAAUUAAAAGUGAUGGGAAUUUGUUUGUAAAAACAAUCUUGCACAUCUAACUUUCUUUUCAAAUUUGAAAAUUUUAUUAACUUUGAUGGUUUUAUAUGUAUGAAGGAUCUGGAUGGACGUAAUAGCACAAGAUCAUUUGACAUAGAGAUGCUUGAAGUUACUCCAAAUUAGUACGGUACUUUUAUCUAAUGUAUUGAUAUGUAUUUGUUGGCUUGAAGAUCAUUUUCCAAGCUUGGAAUUUUUAUUGAAUGCUCUUUGAAAUCUUUUCCAUUUGCUUUUAUAGUGGACAACCUAGUUGUUAAUUAUUAUCCAUGAUCUAAUUUAUAUUUUCAAGUUAAAAAUUUUGAUGAAUAUUAUUUCAUUUUUUUCCUCACUUCAAAAGAUGAAAAUCCUUGAUGUUAGUUAGUAAUAAAUUGGAGAGAAUAAUAAUAAUUUGUGUGUAUAAGCUGAUUGAAAUGAAGAUUAAAAUAAAGAAGUAAAAAAAAAGAGACUCGUAAAGAUUUUAUGUUAGUACUCAACAUGUCCUUUCUUGUUUUUUUUUUAAUUGGAUUACCUUUGUCUUUGGUUAAACUGCACUUCUUAAAAUAUUUUUGGAUUGUUCUGAUAUCAAAAAUAAUUUUUUUUAAAUAUUAUUUUAAUACAUUUUCAAUUAAAAAAUAUUUUGAAAAACAAUAUCUAACACACUCUCAAACAAGUUAAAACGUUAGUAAUAAAAUAACUUUUACAUAUUUUUCAAGUUUAGUAGAAUAGUAGUGGAAUAAUAUUUUUAAUAUUUAAAAAUUAAAAUUUUUUGUGUAACUGUUUUGUUAAAUUAUAAAGUUAAGGACUCUUUUGUAGUUUACCUUACACUAAAGUUAAUAAAUAAUAACACAAGAAAGGACCAAAGUUAACUACAAUACGAGGAAGUUUCAUACUAAAGUUAAAAUACCUCACACUUUUCAAUGAAACAUUACCUCUCCUGUACAUGAAUAUAAAUAAUUUCGUUGACCGACUCUUAUUUCAUUAAUUAUUGAUUAUUUGGAAGAAGAAAGCGUAUCCCUUCUCACUUUUAGAGCGUAUUUAGGGUAUUUAAGAGCGCAUUAUAAAUCCAGGGACAAUUUUGGGUUUUCUAAUCAGAACUUUGGACUAAAAUUAAUAGCAAAUUAAAUAAGGACCAAAUAUAACAGUGUGUAAAUCUAGAAACCAAAGAUAAUACAGCUGCAUUGACCGGAGAUUUCACUCGAAUUUUGACUAAAAAUUAAAAUUUUAUCAAAUUCUCUACUUUAUUAGUGUUCAUUUUCUUCUUUUUUUUUACCUAUCUUUUCCAACUGUUUAGAAAAUUUUUAUGGAUAAAAUUAGAGGAUAAGAAAGAGAUAUAGAAUCACUUUGUAAGAUUUCUAAAAACUUAAUUAUAUUAUAAUUUCUUCCUUAAAAUUAUUCAAAAUAUAGUAUUAGAAUUACAUAAUGCUAGGUUUUAAUAUAUAAUUAAAGAGUCUCUUCUAAAAGAAAUAAUGAAAAUAUUGUAUAACUCUUUUAGAAUGAAUUGUAAAUCCAGGGACAGUCUUCCUGGUGGUUUUUACUGUAUAUGAAUUGAAGAACUAUCAUUUGCUGAUUUACUUGUAAAGUAUUUGUAAGAAAGCUAAAAAUUAGAGUUUUAAAAUUUCUAAAAUAAAUAAUCUUCUCUAAAAUAAGUUUUUUUUAAUUAUACUUAUAAAAUUAAUUAAAUCUCAGGAUAAUAAGAUAUGUCCGGAUAUUUGGCGACUGANNNNNNNNNNNNNNNNNNNNNNNNNNNNNNNNNNNNNNNNNNNNNNNNNNNNNNNNNNNNNNNNNNNNNNNNNNNNNNNNNNNNNNNNNNNNNNNNNNNNGUAUGUUACAAAUUAAAUAUUAGUAUAUUUUUUUCAAGGUGAUAUCUCUUAUUAAAUCAGAGAUUCUCUCUAUUUUUUACAUGCAAUAUAAUCACGGAAUAAUUAAAUAAUUUGAAAAAUAAAUAAAUUUUUAUUGUGGAAUAAGUAAAUACUAAUAUCUAUAACUAGAAGUAACUAUAAUUAUAAUAUUAAAAAAAAGCAUAAUAAAAUGAAUUUAUUUAUAAAUUAGAUAAGAUUCAAACCAAGGGAAUUAAAGUGUAAAAUAAGGAAAACACCCUUGCCAGUCUAAAAUAAUUGAAGUAAUGAGUAAAUGCAUGAAGCAAGAUAAUUAGUUGAUAUUGUGACUAUUCAAGAUAAUUAUAAUCUAUAGGUAAUUGUAUACUAUAAAUUAAUAUCAACAAAAUAAUUGUAUUUAAUUGUUUGAAGUUAAACAAAAAAACAUACAUUCUCCCUUUCCCUUCUUUACAUGGCUUACUCAAUGAAAAAGCAAGCACUAACGCACCUUCUCCACAAACUACCAUAAAUAUAUAAAUAUAUUAUGAAAACAAGAUAAAAAGAAAUCUUUUGGUACAUAUAUAAAUAUAUUAUGGCUAUGAAAAUAGGUUUGUGGAAAUUUACAUCAUUUGAUCUUGACAGUGUCAGAUUAGACAAUUGAUUGCAUGGAAAUGGUCUUCUUAGUUUGCCGUGUGGAAAAUCAUCUCAUUUACGGGACUGCUGGAGAGAGUGUCUAUUGAUAAUUUUACCUUCUUUUCAAAUCUUUGACACUGCUUGGAUUGACCGGUAAUUUCACUCGAAAAUUUCUAGUAAUUUAUAAAGGAAAUUUCUACUGACUAUUAUUGACUGACUUCUUGCAAAGUAUUUGUAAGAAAGCUAAAGAAUUAAAGUUUUUUAAUUUUUAAAAUUGUAAGAAAAAAAUCAAUUAUUUUUAAAAUUGUUUUCAAAAAUAAAACAUCAACUAUUUAUAUAAUUGCUAAAUCUAUUAAGAUAAAUCCAAAAUAACUAGUAAAAUCAGUGACUUGCAUUGACGAGUGUAAUGAUCUUGACAGCAUCAGAUUAGACAAUUGCAUGGAAAUGGUCUUCUUAGUUUGCCGUGUGGAAAAUCAUGUGAUUUACGGGACUGCUGGAGAGAGUGUCUAUUGAUAAUUUUACCUUCUUUUCAAAUCUUUGACACUGCUUGGAUUGACCGGUAAUUUCGCUCGAAAAUUUCUAGUAAUUUAUAAAGGAAAUUUCUACUGACUAUUAUUGACUGACUUCUUGCAAAGUAUUUGUAAGAAAGCUAAAGAAUUAAAGUUUUUUAAUUUUUAAAAUUGUAAGAAAAAAAUCAAUUAUUUUUAAAAUUGUUUUCAAAAAUAAAACACCAACUAUUUAUAUAAUAGCUAAAUCUAUUAAGAUAAAUCCAAAAUAACUAGUAAAAUCAGUGACUUGCAUUGACGAGUGUAAUGAUCCGGAACCACUCGCAAUAAAUAAAGCCAAAAAAGGCAGACGAGUGUGUCUAUAUAUACAUAUAGGAACCGCUGAUUCGAUUUGAAUAUGUUAUUUGAUUAGUCUAAUUCAUGACUUGCAUUGACUCAAGAUUACCACUCAAGAUUUCGUGGUGCUUUCUCGGCCUGCAAAUGAAUAGAAAGCAUGUCCUUUUAACCUCAUUUCAAUAUCGUUGCUUUACUCUCCAGCUAGCCUGAUACAUAUGAGUCUCGAGACAUACGGCCAUUGAUAGAAAGGUGUGCUGAAGCAAAAUAUUUUUUUAUCUGUAGCGACCUCAAUAAUGUUAAAGCGUGGACCACCAUGAAAUUACCGCUCCAAAUUCCUUGUUCUUUCUAUAUUAUUAGAAAAAUUAUCAUUGACUAAUUUAAUUGGAAAUUAUUUGCGAGAAAGCUAAAAAGAAUUAAAGUUUUUUAAUUUAUAAAAUUAUAAUUUUAAAUUGUAAAAAAAUUCAAUUAUUUUAAAAAAUAAAACAUCAACUAUUUAUAUAAUAGCUAAAUAAAUCUAUUAAAAUAAAUUGAAAAUAACUAGUAAAAUCAAGCAAAUAAUCCAAAAAUAACAAGAAAAUAAAUAUAUUUCCUAGAUCUAAUUUGAUUAUAUUUUUUAUCUUGAUUGACUUACUUGCUAAGUCUUUGAACUUUAAUCUAAGAAUUUGUUUUAUAUUUCUUCAUUUAUUAAUGAAAUAUUACUUCUAUUGUAUAGUUUUUGGUUUCGAGUCGAUCCACCAGAUUAAUAGGUGAACAAUACAUUUUUUGAAUUUAUUAGAAGAAACGUGUAAUGUAAAUUAUAAAAUAAUAUUUAUUUUUCUGAUAUAUAUAAUAAUAAUAAAUUAGAUGACAGUUACAAGAAAAUAAAAAUUAAUUUGAAUAGAUGGUACGAGUUUCUAUUCUGAUAUAUCCAGGGAAGAAGUUCGAAGAAUAGAAUGAAGUUAAAUAUUCUUAAUAAAAAAAGAAAAAAAAAAGAAAAAAAAUAUAUUUUUAAUAAAUAUAAAAGAUGGAUAAAAUUAGAGAACAAGAAAGAGAUAUAUAAUCUCUUUGUAAGAACUUCUAAAAAUUUAAUUACAAUUGAGAAUUUCUUCCUUAAAAAAAUCCAAAAAAAUCCUAUUAUAUAUGAAUCAAGACAACAGUUGAAUAACUAUUACAUAUUUUUCAAGUUUACUUAGAAUAAUUAUUUUAAUAUUUAAAAAUUAAAAAAAUACUGUGUAGUUGUUUUGUAUAAAUUCUAAAGUUGAGAACUCUUUUGUGCUUGGUAAAAUGAAUAACUUUUACAUAUUCUUCAAUGUUUCACACUGCUUUAAUAGAUUGGUACAGUAAAUACCUCACACUACAGUUAAUAAAUAAUAACACAAGAAAGGACCAAAGUAUAUAAAUAAUAGCAUGUUUCACACUGCUUUAAUAGAUUGUUACAGUAAAAGCACAAAGAAGAACGGUUCAAGAUGUGGUAGAAUCACCUUCGAAGUGACUAAAUCUGCUUUAAUAUAUUUGAGAUUCACGCAAUGCCACUCUCAUCGGUAUUCUAAAAGCGAAGAGAAGAGUAGAAGCAAUGUGAUAGCUAUACAGGUGAGACUUAAUAAUUUACAGGUGAUAAUUGUUUUUUAAAAUAUUUUUUUUAUUUGAAAAUGUAUUAAUUUAAUGUAAAAUAAUAAAUAAAAUUUAAUUUUUUUUAAUUGUUUUUUAAAAUAUAAAAACAAAGAGGAUAUAAUCAACCUCUUGAUGUCACUAUUAAUUAUUGAUGUCGAUUGAUGCACAUGCUAACACCAGCGAAGAAUUAAGAGGCCAAUAUGCCAUUUGAUGCGAUAUUGCAAUUCAACAGCCAAGACACCACGGCUGAUAGAUGUAGACAGCGGUAAUGAACAGGAAAAGUUAAAAAAAUUAAAAUAUUUCAUGUCUUCACAGUCGUUUAGAAAAGAAACAAGAUCAAACCUUGGUUUCAUUUUGUCAGUUGACUCCAAGUCAAUGUCUAAAUCUCCUCUAAAUUCCAAACUGGGUCACCCAGCGAAUUAAGGUAUAGAUUUUAUUGGACGACAAUCAUAUUAAUAAAUAUGGGACGACAAAUCACAAACAUAAUCAAUUCAACCGUACUCCAAAGAACACUCAUACUCCAAUAUCAGCAACCACCACGAAGGUUGAAUUACACUACUUGUUAAAUUAAUAAAGUUACUAGUUGCUAUAAAGUAAGAGAUAAGAAAAUAUUGUGUUUUAAAAUAUUUUUGUUUUAAAAUAAUAUUUUUUUAUUUUUAAAAUUUAUUUUUAAUAUUAUUACAUCAAAACUAUAUAAAAAAAAUAUUUCAGAUUAUCAAUUCAACCGUUCUCCAAAGAACACUCAUACUCCAAUACCAGCAACCACUACGAAAGUUACCACUCUAAAUUCCAGCUCAAUAAUUUAUUCUUUGACAAUUAUUGCAUUGCUAAUAAUUUGCAAGGAAACAUACUUUUAACUAUAUUCAAUUCCAGAAUAUUUUUUUUUGAUAAAUAUUUGAGAAAUAUUGAUAAUCUUUUAUCAAGUUUUAUUUUUAUCAUUUUUAUUUGGAAUUAAUUCUAUUAUGUAUUUAAAUGUGUUUAGUUACCUUGUAAACUGUAUGUUAGAGUCCCUCAAAUAUUCUGGCCACAUCAACCACUAUAUUUUAUGCCAAGCAGUAUUUUGUCCUUGAACCCUUUGGCCCUCUAAAUUACCCAAAAAGGACAAUAAUUGAGCACAAGUGGUACAGGUCAGGGUUAAACUCAGCUUGCUAGAGCCAGUUCUCAAUUUUAGGCGCCAGUUCUCAAUUUUAGGCACCAGUUCUCAAUCGAAUUUUAGCAAAAUCUGGGCUAGGAUUUGAAACAAAUGUAGCUAUUUUUUCUCCUUUUAUUAUUAAAAAAUAAUAUUCAUGGAUUAAUUUUCGUAUAAUUUAAGAAAGUAAGUCCUUUAAUCAAAUUUUAGAGUGUUGCAAUUACUACGAAAGGAACGCAAAAAGACAUAAAGUUUUUCGAAGAGAGAAAUAAAAAGGAAAAGGAAAAGGAAACAACCCCCACUCCAUCUUUCCCUUCUUUCCAUGAAAAUCAAUUUUAGGAUUUUGAUUUUCAAUCAGUAUGAGUGAGAAAGAAAGAGAGGACAAGCCGACACUUCAAAGGUCCUCUUUCUCUUUCCUUGCUUUUUUUAACGCGUGGAGCCAGCAGUUGUUGCCACCAAAUUCCUUGCUCAGUAUUUGAAAAUUUUCCUAAUUUUUUUUCCUCUACGUGCUGUUACCUUUUACCUCUUUUAUAAUUAUUAUGAUUAUUGCAUUGCUAAUAAUUUGCAAUAAAGAUGAUGAACAUUUUUUAGUCAAUUCAAAAUAACAAGAUAAGGUUUGUUCAGGCUUUUCUUGGAACCUCGCUCAGGGAUUAGUUAGCGAGAAUAAGAAAAUGCUGUCCAAAUUAUACAAAAUUUAUUAUUAAUCAUCAAUAUUUAUUCUUGAUCAUCAAUAUUGAAUAAAGGCUUAUUUUCUAGUAUAAACUUUGAUGAGAUUGUUUAUAAAAAUAACCAAAUUGAGGUUUUUCAAUUACCUUUAAAUAUAUCAUAGUUUUAAUAGGCACACAGUAUAUUUUUUAAUUUAUUAGAAAAAACAUGUAAUGUAAAUUAUAAAAAAUAUUUAUUUUUCUGAUAUACAUAGUAAUAAUAAAUUAGAUGAUAGUAACUAGAAAAUAGAAAUUAGUUUAAAUAAGUGGUACCAAUUUCUAUUCUAUAUAUCUACGGAAGAAGUUCAAAGAAUAGAAUGAAAUCAAAUAUUCUUAAUAAAAGAGGAAAAAAAACACAAAAAGAAAUAAAAUAUGUUUUUAAUAAAUAUAAAAUAUGGAUAAAAUUAUAGAACAAGAAAGAGAAGUUAGAUACCUCAAAUUUUAGUAAGGAUCCAAUUGGAUUGUUUAAAAGAGGAGAAACUGUCAUUGACUGAUUUAAUUGGAAAGUAUUUACAAGAAAGCUAAAAGAAUUAAAGUUUUUUAAUUUUAAAAUUAUAAUUUAAAAUGGCAAGAAAAAAAUCAAUUAUUUUUAAAAUUGUUUUAAAAAAUAAAACAUCAACAAUUUUAUAAUAGCUAAAUAAAUCUAUUAAAAUAAAUUGAGAAUAACUAGUAAAAUCAAGCAAAUAAUUCAAAACCAACAAGAAAAUAAAUAUAUUUUCUAAAUCGGGUUUGAGUAUGUUUUCUAUCUUGAUUGACUGGCUAACUUGAUAAGUCUUUAUUAAGUGUAAAUCAACUUUAUUCUAAAAGUCUGUUUGAUAUUUUUUUAUUUAUUAAUGAAAUAUUAUUUUUACUAUACAGUUAUUAGAUCCCAGGCUAAUCUACUGGGUCGGUUUAAAUUUAAUAACUAUGGUUCAUAGUCAUAUAGCUAGUAGUUGCACUAAAGCUAAUAAUUUAAAAAAAAUUAAAUAUCAAUAAUUUUUGUUGGCAUCAAAUAAUUAAAAAUGAGAAUUUCAGAGCAGAGGGUUUAAGAAAUAUUAAAAUAGAAGGUUUUGUGUAAUUAUUAGAUAAUUGAAAUCAUCACUAAUCUCCUUUGUUCAUUUUCCUUUUUUAUUACCCUUACCAUGCACAAAACUUCAUGUCACUUAAUGAUACACUUGCUUUCAACGUUUAAACUGUUAAAGAAUAAUAUAAAUUAUAUUAUGAGAUCUUACCUAACAGCUUAAGUUAUUGGGUUGAGAUGGUUCUUUGAUAUGGUAUCAGAGCCUUGAUGAUCAAGCGGUCACGAGUUCGAAUCUCACCAUCUCUAUUUAUUUGAUAAAAAUUAAGCACAAAGUAAUGUGGAUUUGUGCAAGUUUUAAGCCCAAAUGGCUUUCACUUGAGGGAGUGUGUUAAAGAAUAAUAUAAAUCAUAUCCUGGGACCUUACCUAACAGCUUAAGUUAUUGGGUUGGGAUGGUUCUUUGAUAUAAUAGCAACCAUCAUGAAAUUACAACACUAAAUUUAUUCUUUAGCAAUUAUAUAAUGCUCGCUCUUUCACAGUUAUUGCAUUUCUAAUAAUUUGCAAGAAAAUUAACAUUCUUUGUCUCUCAAUCUGCACCUACCAUGAAAUUAACAUCCUUUCUCGACAUUUCCUAGCAAUUUAUGGAGGAAAUUUCCUUGUGCCCUCUCUUAUACAUUAUUACAAAAACUGUCAUUGAUUGAUUGACUUGCAAAAGUAUUUGCAAGAAACCUAAUGAAUUAGAGUUUUUAAAAUUUUUAAAUUAUUAAAAACAUCCAAUUGUUUUUUUUUUAAAUCAAGAAUAAAACAUCAACUAUUUAUAUAAUUACUAAAUAAAUCUAAUAAAAUAAAUUGGAAAUAACUAGUAAAUAAUUCAAAAAUAACUAGAAAAUAAAUAUAUUUUCUAUGAUUUGAGUAUGUUUUUGAUUCACUAAUUUGCUAAGUAUUUGCUAAGCAUAACCGAAAGAAAUUAUUUGCUAAUCACUCACUAAUUCAUCCAUGAUAUGUUCAAAAAAAUGGGUUAAAAAUUGGGUAACAACACCAUAUCUAUUUUAUUGAAAACCCGGGCCUGUAAUUGACCGGAAGAAAACCGAUCAACCCACUAAGUAGAUCUGGAACCUUGAUGACCCAACAAAACCUGGUAGAAAUUCAUUUUUUUUUCAAAUGUAUUUUUUCUUCUAGCUAGAGACCUCUAUUUUUUAUAUAUUUUUCAGUUGGUUACUAACCCAUUUCAAAGUUUACUAUAUAAAUAUUAGAAGAAUGUUUUAUUUUUUUAAUGUGGGAUUUGAAACCUUUUAGUAUAUAUACUCUUUGUUUACUAAAAAAAAAAUUAUGUUUUUUUAAUAUGAAAUAAAAAACCUUUUUGAUUUAAAUACUUCAACUCAAAAAAAUAAGAUAGUAUCUUUUUAAUGUGGAAUAAAAAAAACCAUUUGAAAUAAUCUUUUAAACUUCAUUAUUUAUAACAUGUAUAACUUAUAUCUUUCUUAAUUUUUUCAUAUGAAAUAUUAAAACCUUUAAUAUUUUUUUUUUCUUGGUUGACUUGGAUCAAUCCUUGUAACUCGAGACUCAGCUCCUUGAUUGAGUCGAUCUCGAGUCGGGUUUGAUAAUUAUGAAAAUAUUUAAUGAAAAAAUAUAUUUUUUUUGUAUAAAAAUGAAGGGUAAAAUAUUAAAUUAUGACAUAUAUCAUUAAUUAUUGACAUACUCUUGUAACAAGCAUGAAACUUUAUGUUAUUUCAUGAUACCCAUGUUUUUAACGCUUUACACCGCUUUAAUAAAUUGUUACAGUAAUAGCACAGAGAGAAGAACGGAUCAAGAGAAAAUAAUAAUGUAACCAUCUAGAAAGUGAUGCAAUGAUAAGAAUUUGGAACUAAAGAGUUUGUUUUUUUUUUUUUUUUCAGGUUCGAGUUUUGUGGUUGCUAAUAUAAUAGUUACUGGAGAUUUACAUGAUCGUUAACUUUAGGACUCGUAAGAUUAGUUUCGAGUUUUGUGGUUGCUAAUAUAAUAGUUACUGGAGAUUUACAUGAUCGUUAACUUUAGGACUCGUAAGAUUAGUCAAGAUGCAUGCAAACUGGACUGGAUACCUACAGGAAUCUAAAAAAAAAUAAUAAUGGAGAUGAAGCAAAAUCUCUGUUUGAUUUUUUCUUUUUUGUGUUUUUGGUACAUUGGUCAACAAUAGCUUGGAAGACUUUGGUAGCAGUAAGUAACCUGUUCUUCCUCAAUAAUGUUAACGCGUGGACCCUGUUGUUGUGGAAACUUUGCAGAGGAUCUUAAUAAAAACAAGUAAAUAGAAAAAUAUUAAUUUUUAAAUAUAAAAACUAGAAAACCUGAUAAUAUUGAAUAAAAAAUAAAAUAAAAAUUUAUUCUUUUCAAGUAGAAAAAAAAUAUAAAAGUUUAACAAUAUUGAAUAGAAAUAAAUAAAAUUUUUAAACUAAAUAAAAAUGAUAGAAAAAAAUAUUUAUUAUCUUAAAAAUUCUUAUAUUAAAAUCUUAAUUUAUCACAUGAACUGAGUCUAUAUGCUAAAAUCAGAAGAAAAAAAAAAACAAAUGUAACAAAAAAAAUUCUACACAACACAAUUAAUUAUAGGAUCGUAUAUUUCGAGACUAAAUUGAGGUUUUUGAAUUAUCUUUAAACAGAACAUGAUUUUAAUAGGUGCACUGUAUAUCCUUUGAAUUUAUUAGAAGUAACGUGUAAUGUAAAGUAUGAACCGCGUACCAUUAACUAGCCUUUUCAAUUGGAUUUUUUAUUUAAAUGAAAAGGAAAUUUUGUUUUAUUAUGAAAAUAAUAUUUAUUUUUUGAUAUAUCUAAUAAUAAUAAAAUAGAAAGUAGAUUGAAUAAAUGAUAUCAGUUCCUAUUAUGAUAUAUCUAGUAAAAGAAUAGAAUGAAUUAAAAUAUUCUUAAUAAAUAUAAAAGAUGGGGAAAUUACAUCACACGAAACUACCAAUAAGCAAAUUUUAAUCUGUAAUUAUGUAGGUCUUAAUUACAAGGGUUUUAAUUUAGGAAGUAUAUUAAAAAAUAAUAUAAAUUAUAUUCUAGAAUUUAUUUUAAUAGUUUAAAUUUUGAGAUGAAUUAAUAAGUCUUUACAAAUAAAAGAUAUAGUUUUACAAUAAAAUGCAUUUUUAGAAAUGAAAUUAUAUUAAAUUAAGCGUGCUCGAGAUUGUUCAAAUUAUUAAUUAAUUAUAAUUAACUUUAUGUCUUUAGAGGAAACAAAAGGGAAGGACAAAAUUAUUUUCCCCUCAACGAUAGACCUAGCCCACUUUCCAAACAAAAGGUAAAUAGAAUGAUGGUCUCAUAAAUUGCUUUUUUUCUUUCUAGCUCGUCAAGCAGUUUGGUCUCCCUCACUGGAAAAUCUCCUUUUUCCCUGCCUCUGUGCACGUAGGGGAAGAAGGAGAAUAGUAUCGUUCAAAAUAUCACUGUUUUGAAAUUUUUUUUGAAAAAAAUAAAAUGAAUUUAGGAAUAAUUUAAAAAUAGAUUAUGAUAUUUUCCAUCACUUUUUCUUAUCAUCAACUUCAAUAUGUUGCUUCUUUUUUAAAGGUUUAACACUAGAAAGCCUUUUUUUUGUUUCAUUCUUCAAAUCUUAAUAACAAACGUAUGUAAUAGACAAUUGAUAGUGAAAUGAAAAGGUUAAGGAAGAUGAAAUUGUAAGAAAAGAAAAUAAAUUUAAAAUAUUAUUAUGAAAAAAACAAAAAACAAUAAAAAAUAUGGACCAAAACUUAAAGAUAAAAAAAUUAAAGGUAAAAUUGAAAAAUAAUUCUAGUUUUAUAAAUUAUUAAAAAAAGAUUUCAAAUAUUUAAUGAUGAAAUCGAAAAAUAUUAACUUUAAAAAUUAGCCAGAAAAAUUCAAUAAAUAAUAAAAAAACAAACUCAAGAAAAUCUAAAUCAUUUAUAAAAUUAGUAAAAACUUCCACACUAAGUAAACAAAUAAAAACAAAACAAAUAGAAACAAGGAAGUAAAGUCUGUAAUUAAAUAUAUACGCGGAGACAAAAACAUGGGCAUGUGACAGGAGACAAAAGGGCAAAGGAAGGUCUCUAUCCAACUUCCUUUUCCUUUUUCUUAGAAAAAAAGUGACAAAAUCUGAUAGAACACAGAUUCCAUCUCUUUUUCAUUGGUUUUUUUGUUUUUUUAAUGUUUAUGCAUGUGGCUCAACCUUUCUCAGUAAUUGCAACAUGUUUCUUUGUUGAAUAAACUGCAAUACUGGUCUCCCUCACUGGACCCCUUUAUAAUGAGAAUCACACUAGGAAAUUUAAAAGUAAUUUGAAGUAUUAUUAAAGCCUAUAAAAAUAAAACUGAUAAUAAUAUAGUUGGGAUUUUAAAAAAAAAAUUGAUAAAAAACCAUAUAAAAAGAAAUUUGAAACAAAGUAAUCUUAAAAAACCAAAACAAACAUGCCAUGAAAACAAAUUUAAAAUAAACAAAAUACUUUAAAAAAAAAUAAUUCAACCAUUUCUUCAUAAAAAAAACAGUAAUUGGGUGUUACUUUAUGGUCAAAAAGUACAAUAAUGCAAAAAAAAAAAAAAAAAGAGUUUUAGGAUAUUGAUUUUAUUAUUUGUUAGGUAACUAUGUAAUCUAUACGUUGAUGUGGAAAAUAGGACUAAGUUUUUUUGUCAAAAGAGUAACUGUGUAAUCUAAUAUUCAUCUCUCAAAUCCCUAAUCCAAUUGAUCAUAUAAUUAAAUAAUUGUUUUAAUUAAUAACUAUAAGAAACAAACUCCCUUGUUAGUUCAUUACUUAAAUAAAAACUCAUGAUUGUCUAGCAAAGUAAAUAAAUUACUUAACCGGAUCACCAGAGGAGUUAUUUGCCAAAAUAAAAACUCAUGAUUGAGUUAUAUAACAGUUUAUAAAUCAUGCUAUCAUCUCCAUCACCAUAUAUAAAGCUAGACAAAAUAGGAUAAGACGGGAUUAAAUUUAAUUUUAGGAUAUAUUUGAGAAUAUGAUUGAAUCAUGCUUUUUAAAAUGUUUUUGAAUUAUUUUAAUAUGUUGAUGUCAAAAAUAAAUUUUAAAAAAUAUUAUUUUAAUAUAUUUAUAAUAAAAAAAUAUAUUUUAUAAAGCAAUUUUCACCAUAUUUUCAAAUAAAUUAAAAUUUUUCAAAUAAAUGGAUUGAUAUAUCGAUGACACUCUCUAGUCAGUUUUGAGAAUUUUGAAUCCAAACAAGUGAAUUUAUAUGCAUGCUUGUACAACUUGAUUUUCUCUUUAAUUUAAUCAACAAUAAUUUCUCAUACUCAAUAGAAAUUUGGGUUUAUCAUUAGGGUAAGACAACCUGUAUUUUAAAAUACUAUUGCCAAAAGAUCAUAUUAUUUAUUACCACAAGAAAGGACCAAAGUUAAUAAAUAAUAGCAUGCACGAAACUUCGUGAUACCCAUGUUUUCCACGUUUAAUAGAGUGUUACAGUAAAAGCACAGAGAGAAGAACGGUUCAAGACAGAACAAUAAUGUUAACGCGUGGACCCCAUUUGCUGUUUUUUCCUCUACGUGUUACCUUUUACCUCUUUUACCUCUUUUAUAAUUAUGAUUAUUGCAUUGCUAAUAAUUUCCAAGAAAGAUGAUGAACUUUUUUUAGUGAAUUCAAAAUAAACAAAAUAAGGUUUGUUGAGGCUUUUCUUGGAACCUCGCUCUGGGAUUAAUUAGCGAGAAUAAGAAAAUCCUGUGUAAAUUAUACAAAUUUCCUUGCUUUUUUUUUCCUGCAUGUGUUACAUUUUUAUCUUUUAUAAUUAUAAUUAUUGCAUUGCUAAUAAUUUGCAAGAAAGAAUAUUGUUUCUCUGAAAAGAAGUCUGAAUGUUUUUAGAAAGAAGCAGUCUUCAUUGCUUUUCAAAACCAAUCUCUGGAUCUAUUAACAAAAACUCUAAAUCGCGAGUAAUAGACACAAUUAAUUAUGCAUUGCUGUAAUAAAAUCACGUAUUUAUUUUCAAGUGGGAAAAAAUUAAGCCAUGAGGCCAGGGGUUCUUUGGUCUUUACCUAUUUUCGUUUUGGCCACCGAAUUUUAUUUUUUUUUCAAUAAAAGAGAAGGUUUUGUGUAAUUAUCAGAUAAUUGAAAUCAUCACUAACUCCUUUGUUCAUUUUCAUCUUUUUUUAUUACCCUUAGCAUGAUACACAGAAAAGAAGAACGGUCAAGAGAGAAGAAUAAUGGAGAUUACUGUGGAGAUGACGAAUCAAAAUCUUUGCUUGAUUUUCUGUUGUGUUUUUGGCACAUUGAUCAACAAUAGCUUGGAAGAGUUCGAUAGCAGAGGAAGAAAAAUAAUAGCAGUAACCUUUUCCACCUCAAUAAUGUUAACGCGUGGACCCAGUUGUCGUGGAAACUUUGCAGAGGAAGAAAAAUAAUAGCAGUGACCUUUUCUACCUAAUAAUUUGCAAGAGAGAAUUCUUUCUCUGAAUAUAUAGAAAAAAACUAUUAUUUUUUAAUAAAAACAACUAUAUAGAAAAAUUAUUACUUUUUAGGUAGAAAAACCUCAUGAUAUUGAAUAAAAAAAUGAAAUAGAAAAAUUAUUCUUUUCAAGUAGAAAAAAAUAUAAAAGUUUAGUAAUAUUGAAUAGAAAUAAAUAUUAAAAUUUCUAAACUAAAUAAAAAUAACAGAGAAAAAUAUAUAUUAUCCUAAAAGUUCUUAUAUUAAAAUAUUAAAAAGAACUGAGUUUACAUGCUUUAAACAGAAAAACAAUAAAAAAAACAAAUGUAACAAGAAAAAUUCCACGCAACAUAAUAUAUAUGAUAUAAAUUGAGGUUUUUAAAUUACCUAUAAACAUAUCAUAAUAUAUAUGGUACAUCCUUUGAAUUUAUUAGAAAGAAGCCAUUAACUAGCCUUUUCAAUUGGAUCUUUUAUUUAAAAGAAAAGGAAUAUUUAUUUUAAUAUGAAAAAAAUAUGUAUUUUUUAUAUAUAUCUAGUGAUAAUAAAUUAGAGGAUAGUAACAAGAAAAUAGAAAUUAGAUCAAAUAAAUGAUACCAAUUUUUAUUCUGAUAUAUCUAGCUAAAGAAUAGAAUGAAUUAAAACAUUCUUAAUAAAAAAAAAACAGAAAGAAAUAAAAAAAUAUUCUUAAUAAAUAUAAAAGAUAGGUGAAAUCAGAGAACAAGAAAGAAAUAUAGAAUCUCUUUCUAAGAUUUCUUGUUCCCUUUCCCUUCUUUACACGGCCUCCUCAAUGAAAAAGCAAACACCCCAUUUGAUUUUCAUUCAGUAUGAGAGUGAGAAUGAGAAUGAGAAUGAGAGAGAGGUAAUUUCGACUAUACAUAGAACUCGACAGGACAGAAGACUUAAAGAUAAAAUAGCUUUGAUUUACAACCAUGGCUUCAAGGGCCUGGAAUAGGACCAGGUACAAGUUUGUUUCUAUCUAAGAAAGCAAGAAGCUCCCACUAAUGCAUGCUCUCAACAAACUACCCCCAAUUUCGCCACUACAGCUCAAGUAGCUUUGAGUCAUUCCAACAAGUAGGAAUUGAAUUCAAAGGAAUAAAUCAUUAAAUGCGGAGUUGGUGUUCUCCUGUUUGUGGUUCUGAUAAAUGUAAGAACGGACAGAGAGAAGAAAUAGGAAAAAUCCAUGUAUCUAUUAGUUGGCAGCAGUUAUCAUUCGGCCCUUGCCGCCCACGAAAUCCCUUUAUCCUGCUGUUAAUUUUUUUAAAGACGCGUAUCAGGUGUUUGAUAAAAUUCCUCAACUGGAAAAAAAAACCAUGUUUAGAAUGCUUGAGUCCUUUACAAGUGGAAAGUGGGAACUAUCCACUUUCCCAUUUGAAAUCAUCACUAACUCCUUUGUUCAUUUUCUUCUUUUUUUAUUACCCUUAGCAUGAUACACAGAAAAGAAGAACGCGUGGUUCAAGAGAGAACAAUAAUGGAGGGGAAUCAAAAUCUUUGUUUGAUUUUAUGUUGUGUUUUUGGUACAUUGAUCAACAAUAGCUUGGAAGAGCUUGAUAGCAAUAACCUUUUCGACCUCAAUAAUUAAUGUUAAUGCGUGGAUCCAGUUGUUAUGGAAACUUUGCAAAGGAUCUGCAGGAAGAAAAAUGAAAAGCUUUUCGAACCUACAAUAUAGAGAGAGAAAUAAAUAAAUAAAAAGCUUUUCAAAACCAAUCUCAUGCCAAAUUGGUUUGUCUGUCCAGUACUUGAGCUUGCACACUUCGUUUAUAUUCAAACAAUAUUCUUCCGUUGCUUUUAUUCUUUACAAUAAUGUGAUAGGAAUAACAUUAAUAUUAUUAUAAAGAAAAAACUCCACCCACUUUGAAACACCUUUGAUGUGUUGAUUGAAAUUGACAAGUGAGUUUACUCACAUGUUGUUAUAUUGGUUUUGAGUUCAAAUAUGGAGAUUUUAUGAUUUAUUCACAUGAAUGCAUUCAUUUAUUCACCUAUUAACUAAAUCAUGUAUUCAAUAUGAAUGAUGGGAGAUUUUUAAUGUCUUCUGAAUACAUUCAUUUAUAUAUGAAAAUAAUUUAUGUGUGUGUAUAAGGUUAUUGAAAUGAAGAUUAUUAUCCUCCAGCUCAUCAUCAGAUCACACGAAAGGAACGCAGAAAGACAUUCCCUUUCUUGUCAUAAAGUUUUGAAUAGAAUGCCCAUCAAAAAGUACUUUCGUGCAUUAUUGUCAUAAAGUUUUUCAAACUUCCAAUAUAGAGAGAGAAAUUAAAAAAAAAAAAAAAGCAAAAGGAAACAACCCCCACCUCAUCUUUCUUGUUCCCUUUUCCUUCUUUACAUGGCUUACUCAAUGAAAAAGCAAGCACUAAGGCACCUUCUCCACAAACUACCCCCCAAUUUCGCCACUAUAUAAAUAUUAUGGAAAACAAGAUAAAAAGAAAUCUUUUGGUACAUAUAUAAAUAUAUUAUGGAAAUUAACAUGGUAUCAGAGUAUCUGUGAACUAUUGCUGGGAUUGGGAAGUCAUAAUUUUUGACACGCCUAAUCACAGUCUUUUUUGGAAAAAGAAGAAGAAGCCAGGCUAUGAAAAUAGGUUUCUGGAAAUUUACAUCAUUUGAUUUUGACAAUUGCAUGGAAAUGGUCUUCUUAGUUUGCCGUGUGGAAAAUCAUGUCAUUUACGGGACUGCUGGACAGAGUGUCUAUUGAUAAUUUUACCUUCUUUUAAAAUCUUUGACACUACUUGCAUUGACUGGUAAUUUCGCUCGAAAAUUUCUAGUAAUUUAUAAAGGAAAUUUUUACUGUAUAUGAAUUGAAAAACUAUUAUUGACUGACUUCUUGCAAAGUAUUUGUAAAAAAGCUAAAGAAUUUAAGUCUUUUAAUUUUUAAAAUUAUAAUUUGUUGAGGCUUAUCUUGGAACCUCGCUUUGGGAUUAAUUAGCGAGAAUAAGAAAAUCCUAUGCAAAUUAUACAAAAUUUAUUAUUAAUCAUCUAUAUUUAUUAUUGAUCAUCAAUAUUGAAUAAUGGCUUAUUUUCUAGUAUAAACAAUGUUUGAAAUAAAAUUGAUAAAAGAUAGUAUACAUAAUUAUUAAUGAUGGGAUUGUUUAUAAAAAUGACUAAAUUAAGGUUUUUUAAUUAUCUUUUAACAUUUUAUGAUUUUAAUAGAUGGGCUGUACAUCAUGUAAAUUAUAAAAGAAUAUUUAUUUUUCUGAUAUAAUAAUAAUAAUAAUUAUAAUAACAAUAAUAAUAAUAAAUUAGAUGAUACUAACGAGAAAAUAGGAAUUAGUUUGAAUAAAUGAUACCAGUUCCCAUGAUGAUAUAUCUAAAGUCCUAAACUUCAAGAAUUUCUCUUCUUUAUCUUUUGUAUUUUCUCAUUUUCUUGGCAUGCGCGCAGCUGCUUCAUGGAAAAAACGUUUCAGAUGCGGAAAAUAAAAGCGGAAAAAAAAAUCCCAAAUAUCAGCAAACAUCACAAGAGAAGCUUGAUCUCAACAAGAUGUUGCAGUCCACAGUCUUUCCAUUACAUUAUAAUUACUUCUAAAAAAAAUUAAUUUAAUUUUUAAUUAUAAGCCAUCAGCAACUACCUCAAAAUUACCACUCUGAAUUCCAGCUCAAUAUCGAUUAACAUGUGGCUACAGAAUUUGAAUUAAGUUCAAUUAUACAAAAUCCUGUGCAAAUUAUACAAAAUCCUGUGCAAAUUAUACAAAAUCCUGCUUUAAGUUCUUGGAACCUAGCUCUGAGAUUAAUUAGCGAGGAUAAGAAAAUUCAGUGCAAAUUAUAUAAAAUUUAUUAUUAAUUAUCGAUGUUCAAGAUUUUCUUAAAUGUUAUUUUAUUUUCAUUAUUAUUUAUAAAAAUCCAAAAAAAUUAAGAAAAAGUUUAAAAAUUCAAAAAUAUAUUUUUCUCGAGUCAAUCACAUUUUUCCAUCAAAACCAAGUCCACCGGGUCAAACCAUGUCGACUAGGGUAAAAAAUGAGUUUCGGGUCAAAACCGUCAUUUCCGACCAAAACCGAGCUCACCGGGUCAAUACGGGUCAAACCAUGUCGACCAGGGUAAAAAAUAAGUUUCGGGUCAAAACCGUCAUUUCCGACCAAAACCGAGCUCACCGGGUCAGGACGGGUCAAACCAUGUCGACCAGGGUAAAAAAUGAGUUUCGGGUUGUUUCGGGUCAAAACCGUCAUUUCCGACCAAAACCGAGUCAUUAGGUCAGUACGGGUCAAACCAUGUCGACCAGGGUAAAAAAUGAGUUUCGGGUUGUUUCGGGUCAAAAACUGUUAUUUUCGACCACAACCCGGUUCACCGGGUUGAUACCCAUCAAAUGUUUUUUUUGAUAUUCUAUUUCUUUUUUUGCGGUUGAAACCGGCUUUUUCUAAUACUAAUUUGAAUUUUUAAUUUUACCUAUAUAAAUAUUUAUUAUUAUAUAUAAUAAAACAAAAUCAAUAAUUCAACAAUUUGUCAGCGGAGCAGUUGAUUUUUUUAUUUAAGGUAGAUGGCAGAAGGGAAAGGAAAACAGAAAGAAAGAAAGAAAGAAAGAGAGAAGAGUGUACUAUUCAUAUCUUUUUUAGUUUUUCUUCAUGAGAGUAGGAUAUUGUUUUUUUUUAAAAACAAUAUGGAAAAUAUCAAACAUAUCCCAACCACUGGAUUCAAUAGUGUUAGUUCUGGGCCUUUAAUUUAAUAGGAUACAAUAGGACUUACCACACUAGAUUAAAACCCAAACACAUCUCAGCCCUUGAAAUAAUCUAAGCUUUGAUCCCGUUGCCCCACGUCACCCGGUGUACUGAGAUUUCGGUGCACCGCGUCACACCAGGUCAAACAUCUGCUCAUCCAGACCGUCCGAUCAACCUGCAGAUCGAGCCAAUCACAACCACACGAUCUUUUCAUCAGAGAUCCAACAGAUCACAGGCUUAAGUUGCACCGGUGUAUAGUGCUAGCGCUCACACCGUAGUAUAACCCAAAGCCUCUCUCUCCUAUCGCCGGCGACUCUCUCUCUCCUCCGAUCUCCCAUCUCCGGCUGUAUAAAGCCUCCAAACUACCACAGAAAGGUCGCCAACCUCCUACAAAGCAAAACACCGGCCUUUUUCAGCGUUUUCUCCGCCUUAUCUGGCCGCAAAAAGGCCGCGAUCGUCGCUGGCCAGCGACGCUUCAAGUCGUCGAUUCUCACUCAUCAGCCAUCAACGACCGUCAAGACCACCACCAUCAGAAUCCUCGACAUCAGAUCUACCAGGAUCGACCAUCGGUUGGACAGAAAUCUCACCGGAAAAUCUCGCCGCCGCCAACAGUAACCGCACGUGAGACACGCGCCACCAGUGGCAUUUUCGUAAUUUUUCAAGAAAUCCGAGGGUAUUUAAGUCUUUUACCUGGCACUCAUGUAUUUUUUUUAUCUAACAUUUUUUUAUUUUGUAUAAAAAUUUUCUUGCAUGUAGAAAAAAAAUAAAAAAAAAAUAAAUAUAAAAAACGACGUGGGUCCAACACCCAUCUUAUCAUAUUAUUGGUCGUGGGUGCAAAGCCCAACCUCUCAAGAAUAGUUAUACCUAUUUUUAAUGACAUCAAAAUAUUUGUUUUUAUAAAUAAAUAUUAUUUGUUGACACGUCUCUUUUUAUAGAAAAGGACCGAUGUCAAAAAAAGUUUAAAUACCAAACAAAUAUGGAUUAUGUUUAUAAUUUUGUUUUUUUUGUAAAUCAGACGUAAAUCUCCUUUUUAGGAUUAGACAUCGAUAUUUUAGACGAGUCUUCUAUUUUUAAGGACUGAUGUCAUUUUUAAUGUGUCUCUUAUUUUUAAGGACCGACGUUAACCAUUUUAAAAAAAUAAUAAAAUUACAAAUAAGCUCAAAAUACAAUAUCAUUUGAAACAAAAAAAAAACACAAGUAAAGAUAACUUUUCUUUUGAAAUGAUAAUUUAAGGGUGAUGUCUACCUUCCCUUAAUCAUAACUAACCCAGUACCUAAAUCUCUGGGACCAGUGUCUAAUUUGGGAUUUUUAGUUCCCUCAUAUUACUAGAUGGCGACUCCAAUAAAAUCUUAAUUUCCCCAAUAAAAAAUCUCUUUUUAUUAAAUAAACAAAAAAAGCGGAGCCAACAAAAAAAAUAGAGCCGUCGCCCGACAUUGUGUAUAAGUUUAUAUAAGCUUAUUUGAACUCGUACACGUUAAAGAAUAGUAUUGACCUUGAUAUUAGUUAUAAAUAAAUUGGUUUUUCAGGAAGAUAUUGUUUUAGGUUUAUUUCUUUAUUUAAGCUUGUUGAAUUCUAGGCCUUAUAUGAUAUUAGUUGAUGUGAUUUGGAUUUAUUUUUAAGUUAAUUUGUGUGUGGGUAGUAAUAAGUGUAUAUGAAUAUGAAUUGAAGUAAGUACCUUAACAAAUGUGAUGGGUUGGUGUGAAGCUUUGAUUAAUUGCUAUAUUUUGAUGUCAUGAGCAAAUACCUUAACAAAUUUGAAUAUUUGAAAGAUAAUAAAUAAAUAUUGAAGAAUUGUAUAGAAAGAAUCGUAUCGAAAUUAUGGAAAAUAUGAUUUUGUCCUGAAAUUCUAAAAAACAAUUAUAGUUUGGUCACUGGUUGUAAAUAAUAAAUUUUAAAAUAUUUUUUGAUAAAUAUUGAUGAUUUAUUAUCAAUUUUUAUUGUUAUCAUUUAAAUUUAAAAUUAAAUAUAUUCUGUAUUUAAAUGUGUUUCGUUUCUUUGGAAACUGCAUGUGUUGGGAAAACUAGGGACAACUAACCGGAUCAAUUCAGCGGAAUACAAUUCACAAUUCACAAGUCCCAAUCAUUUUUCCCUCUUUGUGCAGUAAAAACAGAAUCAAACAAUGAACAAAUAUAAUGCAACAAUCACACAAAUCAACGCCAAGAUUUUUACGUGGAAAACCCGAUGCGAGAAAAACCACGGGACCGGAGUCCACCUAAAAACUUCCACUAUCACAAAUAAUGGGUUCACAAUUGUUCUUCCUCAGAUUCAACUAAGGGCUACAACAUAUAUAUAUCAUCAAGAACAACUUAUUCUCGGAUUACAACAAGAUUAAAGAGAGUAAUGUUAGAGAAAAGCUCACAACACUGACAGCCCUGUUUUCUGUCAAAACGACCAGCUUCCACACCACCAAUCUUCAAUCCAACCGUUCAGAAUGAAGAGGAACGUGUCUAGAAGUUUCUGUCAAAAUCUCAGCCCGAUCCAACGGUGAAACAACUGGAAAAUGAAGAAAGAAGACAGACUGCUCUGCUGCCUCCUCUUCUUUCUUUCUCUCGGUUUUCUUCUCCUCUCUUCUCAAAUUUUCUACUACUAUCUACAGUAACCGUUUCAUUUAAUUUAAACCAAAGAGGCAGCCAGCUGCCUCCUUAAUUAAUGUGGUGGUCCCCCAUCACAUGGUGCGGGACCACACAACAGUAUGCUAGAGUCUCUCAAUAUAUUAAAAGGGCUAACUAUAAGGUAAAAUAAUGAUCAGUUUUAGUUAGCUCCUGCGGGACUUUGCAUUCUAUAAUUUAUGCUAUGCAUUCUAUAACCCUUGGCCCUCUAAAUUACCCAAAAAGGACAAUAAUUGAGCUUGGUGAUCUAAGAGCACAAGUGGUACAGUUCUCAAUCGAAUUUUAGCAAAAUCAAGGAUCCAAGAAAUGGCCUCUGUAACAUGGUAGCUAUGAUUUGAAACAAAUGUAGCUAUGUUUUCUCCUUUUAUUAUAAAAAAUUAAUAUUCAUGGAUUAAUUUUCAUAUAAUUUAAGAAAGCAAGUACUUUAAUCAAAUUUUACAUUGACCAUCCUCAAUGUGUUUAAAGUAAAUGUUAAUUACCAAGCUGUUGCAAUUAAACCUGACCGGCCCGGUAGGUUUACUGUUACCUUUUACCUUUUAUAAUUAUGAUUAUUGCCUUGAAUAUAUUAUUUGAUUAGUCCAUUUAUAGGUUGACUCUACUAUUCCUGCCUUGCAUUGACAGUAAAUUUCACUAGAAAUUUCAAGUAAUUUACACAGGAAAUUUCCUGGUGAUAAACCUGGAAUCUGAUUUUCAACUUUCGUAGGCACUAAAGUCCCAAACUUCAAGAAUUUCAGAAUAUCAAUUCAACCGUACUCCAAAGAACACUCAUACUCCAAUAUCAGCAACGACCACGAAAGUUACCACUCUAAAUUCCAGCUCAAUAAUUUGUUCUUUGACAAUUAUUGCAUUGCUAAUAAUUUGCAAGGAAACAUACUUUUAACUACAAGAGUCUGUUUGAUAUUUUUCCAACUUUUACUGUUUCACUUCAAAGUUUCAAUAAUUGUUUUUUCAUUACAUAUUCUUUCCAACGUGUAAUAAUUCGGAACCACUCGCAAUAAAUAAAGCCAGCAAAGGCAGAUGUGUUUGUCUAUAUAUACAUGAACCUGCUGAUUCGAUUUGAACACCCCAUUUCUCCGAUUCAAUAACUUCAGUUGCAAAACUUCUCUCUCCGAUUGCUGCAAUUUCAUAGCUAACUCUUUGUUAUACACAGGUAUAUAUGGCUAACUCUUCUUAGCUUCUUUCUUGUUUUAAUUUCAUGUCUCUACCAUUAACAAUAAUGUGAAAGCUUUGCUUGUUUCAUGUUUAACUUCAGUUGCUAUUGUCCUAUGCUUUCUCAUUAUUAAGCUUAAAUUGCUAAUUGAUUGUUCCUUAAAUUCUGCAGCUGAAAUGAGAGAGUCAGAGUCUUCUCGUUCUAUACCAGAAGGGGCCUAUGAUGUCUUCUUGAGUUUUAGAGGAGAAGAAACUCGCAAGACGUUUACUGGUCAUCUAUAUGCUGCCUUAGAUGAAGCAGGAAUCCACACUUUUCUAGAUGAUGUUGAACUUCCUAGAGGAGAAGAAAUCUCCGAGCAUCUUCUCAAGGCAAUUCGAGAAUCAAAGAUAUCCAUAGUUGUCUUCUCAAAAGGAUAUGCUUCUUCUAGAUGGUGUCUCAAUGAACUUGUAGAGAUUCUAAAGUGCAAAAGGAAGAAAACCGGUCAGAUUGUUCUUCCUAUAUUCUAUGACAUUGAUCCUUCAGAUGUGAGAAAACAGACUGGCAGUUUUGCAGAGGCAUUUGAUAAGCAUGAAGAGCGUUUUGAAGAGGAGUUGGUGAAGGAGUGGAGAAAAGCUCUUGAGGAUGCCGGAAACCUAUCUGGAUGGAGUCUCAAUGAUAUGGCAUAUGGGUAUUCCUUUUCUCUCUAAGAUUCACUUGCAGACGUUUAUGGAGUAAUUUUACAUUACAUUUUUCAAUGUGAAGUUAUAAAAUAUUUCUUUUUAGCAUACUUAAUUGACUUGCUAUCGAUGACUUGCCUUUUUUUCUGUGAGCAGGCAUGAAGCAAAAUUUAUCAGAGGUUCCUGAGCACCUCGUAGGUAUGGAUCGGUGUACUCACAAUAUUUAUGACUUUCUAAGUAAUGCAACAGAUGAUGUACGCAUUGUGGGCAUACAUGGGAUGCCAGGAAUAGGAAAGACAACUAUAGCAAAAGUUGUAUUUAAUCAACUCUGCAAUGGAUUCGAUGGAAGCUGUUUUCUUUCGGAUAUCAAUGAAAGGUCAAAACAAGUUAAUGGUCUGGCUCUUCUACAAAAGCGACUUCUUCACGAUAUUUUAAAACAAGAUGCUGCAAACUUCGAUUGUGUUGAUAGAGGAAAGGUUCUAAUCAAAGAGCGACUUUGUCGCAAAAGAGUUCUUGUUGUUGCUGAUGAUGUUGCUCAUCAGGACCAGCUAAAAGCUCUGAUGGGAGAUCGAAGUUGGUUUGGUCCCGGAAGUAGAGUAAUUAUUACAACAAGAAAUUCAAAUCUUCUUCGUAAAGCGGAUCGAACAUAUCAAAUUGAAGAAUUGACAAGAGAUCAGUCCCUUCAGCUUUUCAGCUGGCAUGCCUUUGAGGACACCAAGCCAGCAGAAGAUUAUAUUGAGCUUUCAAAGAAAGCAGUUGAUUACUGUGGAGGACUUCCUUUAGCUCUUGAUGUUAUGGGUGCUUGUCUGUCCGGGAAAAACAGAGAUGGUUGGAAAUCUGUAAUUGACAAAUUGAAAAGAAUUCCAAACCACGAUAUUCAAAGAAAGCUUAGAAUAAGUUAUGACUUACUGGACGGUGAAGAACUAAAAAAUGCAUUCCUUGAUAUCGCAUGCUUCUUUAUUGAUAGAAAGAAAGAGUACAUCGCAAAACUGCUAGGAGCCCGUUGCGGUUACAAUCCAGAAGUUGAUUUGCAAACUCUCCAUGAAAGGUCUCUGAUUAAAGUAUUGGGAGAGACGGUAACCAUGCAUGAUCUAUUACGAGACAUGGGAAGGGAGGUCGUUCGUGAAUCGCCUCCAAAAGAACCUGGAAAGAGGACCAGAAUUUGGAAUCAAGAGGAUGCAUGGAAUGUCCUUCAGCAGCAGAAGGUAAGAGCUCAAUGCAUACAUGAAAGCAUAGUCAAACUUAUUACAUAUAAUUGAAUGAAAGUUGUAUUGAUUUUAUUUUUUUAGGGUACGGAAGUUGUAGAGGGUCUUAAACUGGAUGUCAGAGCAUCAGAAACUAAAUCACUGAGCACAGGAUCAUUUGCAAAAAUGAAAGGCUUAAAUUUACUCCAAAUCAACGGAGCACAUCUCACCGGAUCCUUCAAAUUGCUUUCUAAAGAGUUGAUGUGGAUUUGUUGGCAUGAAUUUCCUUUGAAAUAUUUUCCAUCUGAUUUUACUUUGGACAAUCUAGCUGUUCUUGAUAUGCAGUACAGUAACCUCAAAGAAUUAUGGAAGGGAAAAAAGGUGAGAAACAUGCUGCAAUCCCCAAAAUUUGUCCAGUAUGUAAUUUAUAUUUACAUGUUAUGACUUUCUAUGAUUAAUUUUCAUUAUUUUUCUCUCUAUUAUAACAGAUUCUCGACAAGCUUAAAAUUCUUAAUCUCAGUCAUUCUCAGCACCUUCUUAAAACACCAAACUUACACAGUUCAAGUCUAGAGAAACUAAUUCUGAAAGGUUGCUCGAGUUUAGUUGAGGUGCAUCAAUCAAUUGAAAAUUUGACGAGCCUUGUUUUCUUGAAUCUGAAGGGAUGUUGGAGUCUGAAGACUCUCCCUGAAAGCAUUGACAAUGUAAAAUAUCUUGAAACUCUGAAUAUAUCUGGGUGUUCACAACUUGAGAAAUUGCCGGAACGCAUGGGUGAUAUGGAAUCCUUAACCGAGCUGCUAGCUGAUGGGAUUGAAAAUGAGAAAUGUCUCUCUUCAAUUGGACAAUUUAAGCAUGUCAGAAGGUUAUCAUUGCGUCGAAAUAGUUCGGCUCCACCAAGUUCUUCUUUGAUUUCAAUAGGUGUUUUGAAUUGGAAACGUUGGCCGCCAGCAUCUUUCAUUGAAUGGAUAUUAGUGAAACAUCUUGAGCUUUCUAAUAGUGGUUUGUCUGAUCGCGCAACUAACUGUGUUGAUUUCAGUGGUUUGUCUGCUCUAGAAAAAUUGGAUCUAGAUGGAAACAAAUUCUCUAGGCUGCCUUCUGGGAUCGGCUUCCUUCUCAAGCUAAGGGAUUUGUCUGUUGAGGGAUGCAAAUAUCUUGUAUCAAUCCCAGAUCUUCCCUCAAGUUUAACGCGUUUGGGUGCAUCUUAUUGCAAAUCAUUGAAAAGAGUAAGAAUACCAAGCGAGCCAAAAAAAGAACUAUAUAUAUUCCUAGAUGAAAGUCAUUCGUUAGAAGAGUUUCAGGACAUUGAAGGUCUAAGUAAUAGUUUCUGGUAUAUUCGUGUUGAUGACCGCAGUCAUUCACCAAGUAAAUUACAGAAGAGCGUUGUUGAGGUACUAUUUCUUUCUGUCUCUCUUUCGCACAAAAAGAAACACACAUAAUUGGCACAUACAUUGAUUAAUGUCUAAGAUCCUAGCAUUUCUUGAAAUCAAUAUGUAUACAGGCAAUAAUCAUUAUUAUUAUUAUUUUAUUUUAAAAAAUAAGUAUCAUCUUUAAUAAUAUUUUUUAUUUUUCUUAUUUAAUCUAAAAAAUUAAAUAUUAUCUUUAAUAAUAUGUUUUUAUUAAAUAUUUAAAGUCUGAUUGGUUUUAUUUUUUAUUUCUUGAUUUUAUGAUAAUAUAUUUAUACAGGCAAUGUGCAACGGUCGUCACGGGUAUUUUAUUCGCCACACUCCUGGUCAGAUGCCAAAUUGGAUGAGCUACAGGGGAGAAGGACGCUCAUUGUCAUUCCAUAUACCUCCAGUCUUCCAAGGCUUAGUUGUUUGGGUUGAUAAGGAUGAUAAGGAUGCUCACAUUAUUAUUAUUAUAAGAAAUAAUAGAAAUGGUAAUCUCUUGUUUCAAUGUACGAAAUGGUAUUAUCAUCCAAAAACUGGAAGUAUAAGAUACAUAAGAAGAAGUGAAAUGGCAAUGGAAGAUUACUGUGCAGAUGACGAAUUGGAACUAUACAUUUAUUCAAAGCCAUCACCGUUGGCAAUGGCAAUGGCAAUGAAGGAUGCUGUGAUGCCUUCAUUUGAACCGUCUACACCUAAGCAAUGUGGGGUCCAUGUGAUCGUAGGAAAGUCAGAUUCAUUUGAAGAGUUGGCAGUGGGAAGAGAUGCAGUGAUGCUUCCUCAUCCUCGUUGUGGUUCGAUUACAGCGUCUACACCUAAGCAAUGGAUUGACUUUUUAUUUGCGAAGCUGCAAAACCAUAACCUCAAUUUAAGGCUUUUUGGUAAGAAUACAUAUUUCCUUUAGUUAUUUCUAUUUUAAUAUUCUAUUUAAUUUAAGAGAUUAAAUAUCAUCUUUAAUUAUUACAUUUUUCUUAUUUAAUCUAAAAAAAUAAAUAUUAUCUUUAACAAUAUUUUUUAUUAAAUAUUUAGAGUCUGCUUGGUUUUAAUUAUUUCUUUUCUUGAUUUUAUGAUAAUAUUUUUCUUAUUUAAUAUAAAAAAUAAAUAUUAUCUUUAAUACUUAGAUCUAUCGAAUAUCACUUAAAAAAUAAAUUGUAACUUUAAUAAUUAUUUUUUGAAAA
rnacentral:lncRNA from 1 species